AAGGGAGAAAAAAUAUUAAAAUAUUGUAAGAGCUUUAAUUAAGAUCUUUUGUAAAGUAAGUGAUUAUUGGUAGAACAUGUUUAGAUCAUAGGAAUUGAUUUGAAAUUGAAAUAAUGUAAGAUCAUUAGUUUACAAUUUUAAAAACUUUAAGAAAUAACUUUUAAAUUGCAAACUUAAAAAACUUAUACUAAAAUAGAUUUGAAAAUAAAAAGAAACACAAAAUAUAAUAUCAAAUUUUUAUGAAACAAAAAAGAACAUUAAAGAUAUAAAUAAAUAAAACAAACAAACAAACAUAUUAUUUAAUUAAACCCUAGCAUAGAUUUCGGAUCGAAGGAGAAAUGAAAUGUUUUUUUCUUUUGCAAAAAUUCGUAGCCAAUGAUGAAGCGUCACGUCACGCUAAAAUUGGGGCAAGAACAGUUCUACAACAAGAACAGAUCUACAACAGAUCUAAUACUAUUCACAAUAUUUUUUAUUUUUAAAAGGCUAAGAACACCUAAGUGUUCUCCCUUUAAAUAUGGCCUAAGAAUUUACCGUUCGUGUGACAAUAUAUAAAUAUAAUGUAAGAUGUGUUCAUUAAAAUUUGUGGGUCUAAUUGUUAAACGUUAAUAAAUUUAGAAUUCUUUUGUGGUAUCCCACACUAGCUUGGAAACAGCUUUGCAUCCGGAAAUGACGUAAAGCCUCCCAAUUAUGAUGGUAGAUAAUACACAACAUCGUCCUUCUUCAUGUAUUAUUUUUAGUGCUUUACAUAUAGUUUGCAACUUUAGUUUUUAGUUAAUUAGAGUUGCAAACUUUGCUUUAUUUAUCCCACUAAUCUAUACGACAGAGAAAAAACAAAUUAAACUCAAAUUAUAGAUUUUAUAUUUUAAUGCAUAUCAUAUCAAAAUCUUCUUUUCUAUACUCACAACAAUUUAAUACAUAUAGAUAUAUCUAUAUAAUAUACACAUCUUUGUAUGAUUGUUUUAUAUCUACUUAUAUAUGCAUAUAUCAAUGGCUGGCCAUCAAUCUCAGCUCUAGAGUGUGUGUGUGUGUGUGUAUCUAACUAUCUAUGCAUUGGAUCGGAUCGAAGUAGAACAUUGUCCUUAUUCGGAGGAGGCAACAGAUACACACGUGUUCAAGAUUCGACGAGGAGAAUGACACCCAAAAAAGUACAAUAUAUAUGUACGUUUUAUGCAUAGUGUAUUUUUUUUUACAACUUAAAUUGUAUUUUUAUACCAAUUAAUUUAAUGAUUGAUAGGAUCAGAUCAAAUUUACAAGAAAAAAUACCCUAAAACUUGAUAUAAUGAAAUUAAGGAUAAAAAUAAUUUUACUUUUAACAGAUGAUAUAUAAAACAAAAUAGAUGCAACUAUGCAUUAAAAAUAAAAGAAAACCUGGCUAGUGAGUUGUGACCCUCUAACUUAUAGGUCACAUUGUAUCCAUGUAAGUCUAUAUGGUUUCAGAAAUCUUAAAUAAUUUUACAAAGACAGAAAACAAAAAACAACAAAAAAUGAUUAGAGAUUAACAUAUUUUACCUAUUAAAAUUUUAAAAAUUGAAAAUUUAAGAUUUUAAGUCAUCCACAUAAGAAAAGCCUAGUUAAAUUCAAAGUUCAUACUGGAGCAACUGAAAAUUAUUAUUAUGAAUAUUUAAGUUAAUAAUAAAAAUACUUGGAUUUGAAUACUCAGCAAAAACAAACUAUAAGGGAUUUUUUAUUUUUGUCAAAGUUUAAAUUUCUGUUUUUGUUUCUGGUAUUUUUGUUAACUUUUAGUUGUGAAACUACAAAGGGUUAACCAACGUCUUAAUGAAUUUUCUAUAGAUGGGGCAUCUAAAAAUCUAUUUUAAUAAGGUCGUAGACCAAAGUCAGAGAAAACACGGCUAUGUCUAGGUGCAUAUAUAUAGCCUCCUUAUACCUCAUAACUUAAUUACUUGUGAAGCAUUUGCUUUCUUUCACCAUUUUCUCUCUUACUCUUCCUCUCUCAAUUCUGAUAUUGCUACGAAGAAGUUAUAUUUUUUUGACGACUCACGACUCGUUGAGGUGAUCUACCAAAAGGACUAAACAACAAAACAUAUUUUUUAUCCCAACAAAAAAAGUCAAUCAUCAUGAAGUUCUCAAUCUCAACACUGAAGCAGGUACAACCAAUCUUGAGUUUCAAGAACAAGCUAUGUAAGGUCAACGUCAACUCUUUUCUCCAUCCCAAAGAAAAAGUCGUCUUCGUGAUGGGAGCUACCGGAUCGGGUAAGUCUCGUCUUGCCAUCGACCUAGCAACUCGUUUUCAAGGAGAGAUCAUAAACUCCGACAAGAUCCAACUCUACAAGGGCCUCGACGUCCUAACAAACAAAGUCACCCCUAAAGAAUGCCGAGGCGUGCCUCACCACUUGCUUGGAGUAUUCGACUCCGAAGCCGGAAACAUAACAGCCACCGAGUAUAGCCGCCUUGCUUCACAAGAAAUCUCAAAACUCUCAGCGAACAACAAGCUUCCCAUAGUAGCCGGUGGAUCAAACUCUUACAUCGAAGCACUCGCGAAUCAUUCCUCGGGGUUUUUGUUAAACAACUACGACUGCUGUUUCAUUUGGGUUGAUGUUUCCUUACCCGUACUAAACUCCUUUGUCUCAAAACGUGUCGACCGCAUGAUGGAAGCAGGAUUACUUGAAGAAGUAAGAGAAAUGUUCAAUCCAAAAGCGAAUUACUCCGUAGGGAUAAGACGAGCUAUCGGAGUCCCCGAGCUCCACGAAUAUUUACGUAACGAAUCUCUAGUGGACCGUGCCACACAAAGUAAAAUGCUUGACGUAGCAGUUAAAAAUAUCAAAAAGAACACAGAGAUAUUAGCGUGUCGGCAGUUAAAAAAGAUUCAACGGCUUCACAAGAAGUGGAAGUUGUCUAUGCACCGUGUGGAUGCAACCGAGGUGUUCUUGAAACGCAACGUAGAAGAACAAGACGAGGCUUGGGAGAAUCUUGUAGCUAGACCAAGCGAGAGAAUCGUCGACAAGUUUUAUAAUAAUAACCAACUGAAAAAUGAUGAUGUUGAGCACUGUUUGGCGGCGUCUUAUGGCGGAGGAACUGGAAGUAGAGCCCACAAUAUGAUAUGAAAAGUUUUGUCAUUGAUCAUGUGAAGCUUUUUGGAGUGCGAAAACGAUGAGUCUCUAAGAUUUCGUAUGUGUGGUGGUGAUUCCCCGGAGGCUUUUUUCAACGUACAGGUGUGACAUUACCCCUAAAGAAAAAAACAAAAAAGUUUUUUUUUUUGUAAGUGUUUGUAUAGAAGAUAUUCGGUUAAUAUUAAUUGUUUGAUACCUAUUGACUACGAGUUCACGAUAAACCGAAAGUUUUAAUUCCUUGUGCCACGAUAUCACACUUAUGUGUAUUGUUUAUAAUAUAUAAACAAUUAUUUGUAUUGCUUUUUGUUGUGUGAAGUAUAUCUUGGCCUUACAUUUACGCAUUCAUGUUAUUGGCUGAGCAAUCAAAAACUAAUUAUAACAGUUAAAUUCUCCUGAUUUGAAAACGCCCUUUUGGAGUAUGACAGUUUAGUAUGCUCAAUAUUUUGAAUUGGUUAAUAAUCUAUGCAUGUUUUUUUUUCGAUUAAUGAUUCAUGCAUCGUAAAGACAUAUAUAUGUAUAUAUGUUCUGUUUUUGUUAAUGUAAUGAACGUUAGGGUCUUUCAUCUGUCUAUGUUUUUUUAUAAUCAAAUAUUAACAUUUAUCCAAUAUCCAAGAUUGAAACUCCUUAACCAUAUCAAGUUUAAGUAAAGAAAGAUAUAUGAUCAUGUUGUAUUAACAUUUGAGCACGAAAGUUCUACAUCUACGUAAAAGUUGAGUAAACACGCUAAUAGAUAUUAUUAACCAACAAUAAAAUAUUAACAUAUCCGAAUUAUUUUUAACGAAUUAUAUAUUUAUGUGAUAUAACUAUAACAGACUAAUUAACACUUAACAGUUUAUAUAAUUAUAAACAGCUAAUUGCCUAAUUGUGAGAUCAAAUGAUCUCUUUUUUUUUUUUGUCAAAAAGAUCAAGUGAUCUUUUGUAUGUUAAUAGGUAAUAUGACCGUUGAUAUGAUUGAGAAAGUUUACCGCCUAUUCAAAGGUAAUUUAAGAAGAGACUACUUUAACUCUGCUAACGUUACUGGUUUUGGCAGAAAUACGGAUUUUGGCCUAAAUCAUUUUAGUAAAAUAGAAAAGAAAAAAAAACAACUGAUUUUGAAUAAUCUUUUUUUUUCUUUUUCUUUCCUGGAUCCCACUUUGGAGACAAUUUAACCCAAAUGGGUAAACAACAAGGAAGGAUAAAACCUUGAGUGCACGAAUGCAGCUUGUGAUUUUGCAGUAGACUACUUGAGUUAUCUAUUUACACGUUCUCUUUCAUGUAGCAUCAAAAUUUGGGACAGUUCAAGUAAAUAAAAGACUUUGAACAAUUAUAGUAAAAAAAAAAAAAGUGAGAGGAGGAGAAUCUUUAAGUUGAGAAAGGGAAGAAUCGAAGAAAGAACAUGAAAAAGAGCAAAGAGCGCGUGGUAGGCGCGUGGCAAGUAAGUGAGUUAAGAAGUCUGUGUCAAUGACUCAAGAGAAAAUUGCACGCGCAGCUUAAUUUAAGGAUCUUCCGUACAUAAGAGCAAAAGCGUGUGGAGAAGGUUGGAUCAAUCAUAAAUUACGUUCGUACAGUUGUGAAGAGACAUUGAUCAUUAUUUAGAUAAUACUUGUAUUAUCAAGUAGUAGUAUAUAUUAGUAUUAUGUUAUUGUUGUUAUUCAUGGACCCAUCCAUUAAAUUGAAUUGUACACACGUCAAGUCAUAACGCAUCUAGGACAAGGAGGUGGUGAACUAAAUAGCACUAAACUAAUGUCAUAAGGAGACAGCAUCUGAUGUCUUUCUUUUCCCUAUUCUUUCGUUUUAUAAUUUUUUUAACGAUUUUUUUCUCUUUGGUGUACAAUUGUGAUGUUCUUCUGAUAAUGAUUUGUGGGGUUAGUAGUUUGAGAUGAACUUGAAAGCACUAAAUAAGAAAAUUGUGUUUAGGACUUGAAUUCUCAUUCACAUUAAUCAAUAUAUAGUCGGCCAAUCAGUAUUGUUCACCGGGGUAAAUUAUACAAAUUACCUGCCACGAUUAAUUCUGAAAUAUUGACUCACAAACAACAAAAAGAAUACUAUAUAACGUUUUAUAACUUGUAACUCAUAUUAAUGAUGAUUGUGAUGAUGGCUCCAAAUUGGCACUAUAAAAUAGAAGAGAGUAGAAUGUUUUCUUAAGGCUUAAAAGAUGAAAUAAAACAAAUCAAAGGUUGAUAUUGAACAUAGAAAAUACCAAAAGCUGCUCUUUAUUUAUUCCCUCAAUAUUCUAUAUUUAUCGUAUUGUGACGCAAAUGGAAAUUGUGUUCUUAUAUUUUGGAGAAAAUGGCGAAUCGUUCCCUAAAAUAUUUAUAAAAAAUAAACAAUCUUUUGUGGUGCGCUUAGUCUCUUUAUUUACAGAUUUUAUUGGUCCAACUUCAGUGAGUUACCUUUUUUUUUUUCCAUCAAUCGUAUUGCACUCUACAUAUUCCAUAUCGGGCCAUGCUUAUCUAGUUAUCUUCAAAUUAUUUACACCAUUUUCAAAGGGUUUGUUUUGUUUCUUCCAAACAAAUUAAAAUCAAUUUAUUGCAAGAAUAAUUUUAAAACAAAAAUGUUAUUUUUAUAUUUCCGCUUACUAGCUAAAAGCUAGGAUUUAAGCAAAGAAUAUGUUAUAUCUAUUAUUAAUUUUUUUGUGUAACACAAAUUACACAAUGACGCACACAUAAUAAUCCGUAUCUAGUAAAAAUAUUUGAAUAUGCUAGAAUUGUUUAUACAUCUAGUAUUAAUACUUCUGCAAAUAUUAAUUAUAUAUUUUCAUUUAAUAUGAUAUCUAAUGAAGAUUUUUCAAUUUAAAUAAUAAUUUAUUCAUUUUGUUUCAAUAAAUUGAAUAUGAAAUCCAUAGAUGACUAAACACAAAGUAGAUUGUAUCAUUUCCUAAUCAUGUAAAUAACUAAAACAUACUAGUAUAUUUGAUAUUUUUACUGAAACAUAGUACUUUAACUACUAUAAAGUUCGAUGGAAAAAAAAAAACUACUAUAAAGUUAUAUGUUGAGUUGCACAACUUCAAGAACAAAAAAAAGGUUUCUUAAAACACUUUGACAUACACAUUACACUCUUUAGAAAUCUUACCCAGAAAAUAUCAAACGGUAUUACAUUUAAAGUUUUAAUCAAAAUAUCACCCUAAAAAAGAAUUCUAACGAAACAGUGGGAAUAUGAAUAUAUGACCCACAAUGCUUGAAGCUAUCUAGAAUCUAAAAUUGCAGAAUUUUAGGCCUUCAAUUUUGGUAUGUCUUCGUCUCUUUUAGAUGUGCUUUUGCUUUUUAAAGCCCAUUUUGUUUUAGGAGUCUGUUUUUUUUUUAUAUAAUUAUUCUUAGCUUUUCUAACGUACAAGAAGAAUAUAUAACGUCAACAUCAACUUUUUGCAAAGGGAACCUAAGUUCAAUGCCAAAGUUCAGGUUCUGAGCACAUAAAUACAAAAAGAAGAAAACUUAAUUUCUAAAACCAAUUUUAUUCUAACGAGUGAAUAUUUUUCCACGUCACAUUGUCGUCUUUCUCCUGUUGUGGGUUGGUGCCUUGGAGACACUGUUCCGUCCUUAUGCUGCAAGCGUGUAAUCCCUGGGCAUCUCAUUCUCAUCAUAAUUUUACUAACAAAUACAUGCAUGUCGCAAUCCUAAGUAUUCUACAAUCUCAUGUACUCAAACAAUUUUUAAAGUUCAACAAUUUCUUACCCAAAAAAAAACUAAAACAGCCUCGUGUGAAACUUGGCAUGAUCAUGAUUCAUGCAUGUCGCCCGCAAGGUGGUGGGCGAGUGGUAGGGCGAAGUCCGAAGUUGAGGGUGAAAUCCCCGAACCCGGGUUCGAUCUUCCUCCCUCGCUGUUAUCAACACUUUGUUGGAAAGUCUGGGCUUGGGCUUCGGCCCAGGCAGUUUACCUGGUAGUCUGGUAACACGCGAUCCAGCUACCCCCGGGCAUUAGUCGGAAAGCAUUUCAAACUCGUAUCAGGCAGUGUGGUAGCCCAUCCUUCGAGGUGGUAGUGAGUCCACUCUGUAGCACUCAGGUGCGUUCCUGUCGAGUGAUUGCUCGAGUAAUUAACUCAAUACACUUAACCGUUAGGCAGUAUAUUCUAGGUCGAUCCAUAAGGACCAAAGAUACUCUAAAGAUUUCCGAGACUCGUUCUUAGCUAAAGCGGAAAGGUUGUUUGUUUGGUUUUCAGAUUUUAAAAUAAAAAUGCAAAUUAAUUAAACGAUUUGACUUCAAGACUUAAAGACAUUGGGCUAUAGGAUAUUCAGAGAUCAAUAAAUAACGGAAACAUUAGACAAGGAAUUCAACAAUUAAUUAAGCACCGUUCUUGAACAUGAACACAUUUAGACUAAUUCUCUUUCAAGACAUUAAUCACUAAAUUUGACUAUUCGAUUACUAAACUUUCGCAUGUAAUUUCCUAGUCAAAUUCGCAUUAUAAAACAAGUUCAUUAAGUUCACAAUGCGUCCUAACGUCAACUUUCGUUGGCUAGAAAUACAUUGCUCAAUUCACAUUCUUUCAGGCAUUCUAUCGAACACUUUUGAUGCAUAGAAAAACCUAGACUCUACAACAGGGUGAUCAAUCCUAUUCUAGCAUUAAGAACAUGUGAAUCAAAGAACCUAGAGAAUAAGAACUCCUAAUAUCAAUCAAUCCAUUAAUCCAUUGAAUCUCCUAAUUAGAACCCUAAAACCCAAUUGAGAAACUACUCACUCAUGGCAAAGAAAACAACACAAAGAGAUGAAGAAAGCAUAAUUGAAUUGAUAAAUAAAGAAUAAGGGUUUAGAAAUCUUCUCCAAAGUGUCAAAGAGGAUGAAUCUCUAGAAUCCCAAAAAGCUUACAAAGAGAAGUCUCAAAAGUUGCAGAGAAAAGAACGUAGAGAGAAAAAUAGGUUUUUCUGGGUUUUUAUACCCAAGUACAGAAAAAGGCAAAUAAACCCGGUUAAGAAAAACCGGUCUGGUCGUCGAGGCUCGGAUCGAUCGAUCCCAUGUGUGGAUCGAUCGAUCCAGAUAUGUUGAAUCAAUUGGUCUUGGACGAAUGAGGGUUGGAUCGAUCGAUCCCCUCCUGGGAUCGAUCGAUCUCGAGCGACUGGAACUUUUGGCUUCAUCGUCACAAUUGGGAUCGAUCGAUCCACGCCUUGGAUCGAUCGAUCCCCAGCUCCUGGUGAUCUCUUGUACUGUUUCUCCAUUGUUUUAGCUCCGAAUAGGCUCAAUCAUGCACAAGAUGCUCCGAAUCCAGCUCGAGCACCUAUAGCCUGCAAAGGACUCAAGACACAACCGAAAAGACGCAAAAGACGGACUUUGACACGAUAGAUGACUCAAAACAUGGACUAAACCAAGACUCGAAACUGUUAAAAACACAACACAUCACUCCCCCCGACUUAAAUCUUUGCUUGUCCUCAAGGAAAGCAGAAAUCCUUAUCAAGAGAAGAGGUUUGAAAACACGAGAACUCACAUUUUCUUCGGGAUCAUGUUCUAUCAAUUGCCUGCAAACCACUAUCACACAACUCAUCAAACCGUACUAGACUGUACUUCGCCAUAACCGUAGCAACAAAAUUAAGUCCCGAAAUCUAAAAGAAUUUUCAGAAUCAGAUAACUUAACCUUUUAACAUUCAUUAGCAGUGGCGUGUAUUCUCACAAAGGGGGUAUCGAACACGUUAUGGGCUUGGUCAAAAAGGGCUAAUAUUUAGUGGCUCAAGGUGUUUCGGGUACUCAACAGUAUAAACGGAUGCACGUCAUUAUGUUGUGUUUUUAUCGGUUUUGAGUCUAUGUUUUCUUUCUUACAUCAUAUGUUUUAUCGAGUCAUCAGAAAUGGCCUUCGCUUUUUCCUUCUUCAGGAUUGGGUUGAGCUCUUUGCCACUCCUCAGUGAGAUAGCAUUAACAUACUCCUUACCAUUGUUGUAGUCUUUCGGGUUCGUGAUCGGCUUUCCAGGAAGAACCCCCAUUGGUCUUGUAGAUGCAGAAACUGUCUGAGCUACUUGAUUCUCAAGUGUCUUAACAUGUGAAGCUAGUGACUCGAAUUUCCCAUGAAGAUCACUGUACAUGCUAUCAACCUUGACAUUAAUAUCUGCAGCGUUCUUUUUCUGUCCCUCAAGAAUUUGCUGCAUCAUGAGCUUCAUCUCAUUGUCUCCUGAAGAAGAUGCAGAAUUAUUACCUGUAGGUGCUUGGUAACUUCCCUGGAAGUUGUUAAACUGAGAUUUCUGCUUGAAACCUCCCUGAUUGUACCCAUUGCCCUGCAUCUGUGGCUUAGGUACGAACACCUUAUUGUUGAAAUUUCCCUGUCCAGGUACAAAAGGCUUGGACUGAAAUUGCUGACCCUGUGAUCCCGUCUGCGCUGGGUAUACCUGAUCCUGCGGAUUCUCUACAUUGGUACUCCUGUAGGAAAGGUUAGGGUGGUUCCUGUAGUUCUGAUUGAAUCCCCUGUUCUGGUAAUUGCCCUGACCGUUGAUGUAGUUUAACUCAGCCUGAACAUCCUCUGAACCGUCCCCGACGAACUCUUGAUACACCUGAGCUUCACCACUAUCGUCACAGAAAUUAACAACCCGCUGAUCUCUCUUGAGGAGCUGCUCUACCUUAGCUGUCAACUCAGCAAUCUGUUUCGACUCUCCUCCUCCACCUUUGUUCGACCUGUCAUAGUCAACAUUGUGGUUACUGUUGCUGGUUGCCAAAUUCUCAAUAAGCUCUGUAGCUUCAUCCUCAGUCUUGGUCAUGAAAUCCCCAUUACUAGCAGUAUCCAAAGCCAUCUUGUAGUCCUUAUCGACUCCCCUGUAGAAAGUAUUGAUCAAAGUGGCAUAUGGAAACCCGUGAUGAGGGCAUUCUCUGUAGUAGUCUUUGAACCGCUCCCAAGCAUCAUGGAACGAUUCUGUACCAUGCUGCUGAAAAGAAGAGAUCUUGUUCCUCAGAAUGGCUGUCCUAGACUGAGUAAAAUACUGUGACAGAAAUGCAGCCUUGUAGUCUUCCCAGCUUCUUAAAUUCUCAGUGUCCAAAGACUUCAACCAGCGAUGGGCUUUGUCAGCCAAGGAGAAGGUGAAAAGUCUGCAUUUGAUGAUAUCAUCAGGUACUCCAUUCAUUCUUGUUGUACUGCAUAUAUCCUCGAAGUUAUCCAAGUGGUAGACUGGAUUCUCUGAGGUGAGACCAUGGAACUGAUUCUGCUUCACCAAAGAUAGCAACCCUGUCUUGAUCUCAAAAUCAUUCCUAUUGAUUGGCAGCUGUUGGUUCAUGUCUCGAAAAUGCACAACAUUAGGAGCAUCAUGAUCUCUCAAAGUCUGUCGAGCAGGCACGGGCCUAGCAUUUGCUACAGCUACACGAGCGGCAUUAGCAGCAGCAUCACGUUCACCAGCAGCAGGAGCAUUAUUGUUUCUAGGCGGUGGAGGAUCCUGAAACACUCCUUGAUGAUCACCUCCAAGUGGAAGUUCAUCCCUAUUCUGAAGAUUUCCUGCAGCAUCAAAUUCAGCCAUUUCAGCUUCUCUCUGCUCGGCUAUCUUCUUCUUUUUCUUAUUCGCUCUUUCAAAUUUUCCGAUAUCCUCUUGGUAAUCCGCUAGAUGUGACGAGCCUUGGCUGCGGGUCAUACACCUGAAAACACCAAAGAGAAAACGAAAACGAAAAUUAGUAACAGAAAAUAAAAAUGCUUUAGACUAAAAACUAAUCCUAAAUCGUUAGGUAACGCAAUUGGUCCCCGGCAACGGCGCCAACUUGAUUGCUCGAGUAAUUAACUCAAUACACUUAACCGUUAGGCAGUAUAUUCGAGGUCGAUCCACAAGGACCAAAGAUACUCUAAAGAUUUCCGAGACUCGUUCUUAGCUAAAGCGGAAAGGUUGUUUGUUUGGUUUUCAGAUUUUAAAAUAAAAAUGCAAAUUAAUUAAACGAUUUGACUUCAAGACUUAAAGACAUUGGGCUAUAGGGUAUUCAGAGAUCAAUAAAUAACGGAAACAUUAGACAAGGAAUUCAACAAUUAAGCACCGUUCUUGAACAUGAACACAUUUAGACUAAUUCUCUUUCAAGACAUUAAUCACUAAAUUUGACUAUUCGAUUACUAAACUUUCGCAUGUAAUUUCCUAGUCAAAUUCGCAUUAUAAAACAAGUUCAUUAAGUUCACAAUGCGUCCUAACGUCAACUUUCGUUGGCUAGAAAUACAUUGCUCAAUUCACAUUCUUUCAGGCAUUCUAUCGAACACUUUUGAUGCAUAGAAAAACCUAGACUCUACAACAGGGUGAUCAAUCCUAUUCUAGCAUUAAGAACAUGUGAAUCAAAGAACCUAGAGAAUAAGAACUCCUAAUAUCAAUCAAUCCAUUAAUCCAUUGAAUCUCCUAAUUAGAACCCUAAAACCCAAUUGAGAAACUACUCACUCAUGGCAAAGAAAACAACACAAAGAGAUGAAGAAAGCAUAAUUGAAUUGAUAAAUAAAGAAUAAGGGUUUAGAAAUCUUCUCCAAAGUGUCAAAGAGGAUGAAUCUCUAGAAUCCCAAAAAGCUUACAAAGAGAAGUCUCAAAAGUUGCAGAGAAAAGAACAUAGAGAGAAAAAUAGGUUUUUCUGGGUUUUUAUACCCAAGUACAGAAAAAGGCAAAUAAACCCGGUUAAGGAAAACCGGUCUGGUCGUCGAGGCUCGGAUCGAUCGAUCCCAUGUGUGGAUCGAUCGAUCCAGAUAUGCUGAAUCAAUUGGUCUUGGACGAAUGAGGGUUGGAUCGAUCGAUCCCCUCCUGGGAUCGAUCGAUCUCGAGCGACUGGAACUUUUGGCUUCAUCGUCACAAUUGGGAUCGAUCGAUCCACGCCUUGGAUCGAUCGAUCCCCAGCUCCUGGUGAUCUCUUGUACCGUUUCUCCAUUGUUUUAGCUCCGAAUAGGCUCAAUCAUGCACAAGAUGCUCCGAAUCCAGCUCGAGCACCUAUAGCCUGCAAAGGACUCAAGACACAACCGAAAAGACGCAAAAGACGGACUUUGACACGAUAGAUGACUCAAAACAUGGACUAAACCAAGACUCGAAACCGUUAAAAACGCAACACAUCAUCGAGGCUGACCGGAUCAGCCGAUCGGGUAUAUCAAAAAAAAAAAAAAAAAAAAUGAUUCAUGCAUGUCAGUCCUUUAACUUUUUAUUUGAUAAAAGAUUUUCAAUUGAAAUAGCAAAAGAAUAAAAAUAUUACUGAUAGCCUGUAGGCCCACUUCUAAUGAAAGCCUAUUAAAACAUAAUUUUGAACCAAUCAUAAUAAUAGUUUAAUGGGUACGAAGCCCAGAAAAGUGUUAGCCCAUAGCAGUUUUAUUUGCCUUGAUUAGGCAGAGCAACAUUCUUCAGCAUUCUUAAUCAUCCAAUUGGCUCUUGGGGUCUAAUGUUGGCACCAUUGUUGGAGUACGAGCACCAAUGAACAUUUUUUUGGGGGUUUCUUGACUCCCUAAAGGAAGAAACGCUAUUUUUCUCAUCGUUGAAUCAAUUUCGUCGAAUUGAUUCUGUAUUGAUGAAGUCAGUUGUUCCAUAGAGACUCUAAAUAGAAUACCCGUUAAGUCAUUAACACGAUUCAAAUGCGUUUGCAUAUAUAUAAUUAUUUUGCUAAAAAUGUAAAUAUUUCACAAAUAAUGAAAAAAUUUAGGAAGUACAAUAAAGUAAAACCUACAAAUUGGUCGCAUGGCAAAAAAAAAUGGAUACAAAAACAUGGAAGCAAAGAACAUUCAAUCUAUUGACAUCGAAAAUGCAGUGACGCUUUCGGAGUCAAUGAAGUGAUAAGCAAUUUUAAAGAUUCUCCUACAUGAAGCCAGGGAGAAGAUACAUUUUGUCAAACGACAAAGACCAGAUCAUAGAACUGAGCUUUCUCAGAGCGAAACCACACAAACCAAAAGAAAACGAAAACAUUAGCUCAUUCUACCAAGCCCUUUCCCCGAGGUUGGCUAGCACAUUGCAAAUGCAACAAUACGACCAAACGCUAAACAAUCCUAAGGUCUUACUAGAAAAUGGUUCAACGCCUCUCUAAAUCUUUCGCCAUAUAAUUGUAGAAUGCAUCUAUUGAUUUUCACAUCGAGAUCUUCUGCUUUUAGCUAUUUUCCCCCUCUCAUUAUAUAUAUUCUCAAAACGCUCCAUUGCAUGUGGUCUUGAACAUUACAUAAGUAGUUCAAGUUGAUACAUGUUGUCUUCCAACCUUUACAUUUCUUAUUCUCGGGGGCAUCACUUUAUGUAAAAAUGUGUUGCCAUUAACUUUCCUUAUAGCAUAUUCAUCGUUAAGGUAUGUCUCCGAUACCGGAGUCUUUUCUCCCUUUAGGAUCAAUGAAUAGCUAGGCGUCACAAACUUAGCCGGUCUCGGCUCCGUCUUCUUCUUUUCUUGUCCCAUUGUAUUUAUCACACUUCCACAAAUACCAGUUUUGAUCUGUGAAAAACAACACAUCAUAAUCAUUAAUCAUUAUCAUUGAUUCUACAUUCAACAUCAAGCAUCAUCAUCAUCAUCAAUCAUUGAAAUAAAACAUAUUUUGAUGAAGUGGAAUAACAAAAUCUAAACAUAGAACUCUACAUUAGUUUCAGUCAAUUCACAGAAUAUAAAAUAGUUAGCCCAAAAGUCUGUAAACAAGCAAAUUGAACAAAACUCCAUUUCAAUUUUGUAGAUUAACGAGAUUUGAACAUAGAACACUAGUUCGAUUAUGUAGAUUAACAAGAUUUGAACAUAGAACACUAGACUCCGAAGCAGGCAUUGAUGAAACUUAAAUAUUUUUUUUUAAUAUAUAAAAUGUUGUAUUAGAAGGUAUAGUAUAAGUUUUAUGGUUGAUGGAAGUUUAUGUCUAAGUACACUGCAAAUACGAGAUCUAGUUUUAGAAGGUAUUAGUCUAAGUGCAUAACUUGGGCCUUGGGGAUUCAUGUAAGAACAUGAAAUCUAUGUAUGAAAGUUAGGACCGUUAUAAUAUGGUUAUAUGGUUAGGACUUAGGAGUUAGGAUCAAUAUAAUACUUAUUCUAAUUUAGGCCCGUCCAUAGAUUGAACGGAUCAAACCUAAAACGAUAUCAUUUUACAUAAGAGUUUUAUUUUGCCAAAAACAAUUUUGUGUUGGACAUUUCUUCUUCUGUCAAGGAACGACGAUGAGCUUAUUGAAGAAGUCAAUCUUCAGUUCAUUAAUAGACCAUCUCCAUCGGUGGAGAUCGGGUCUUAUAACUUUUUAUUUAUAUUUUAAAUACUUUGUUUUUAUAUUUAAGUUUUAAAUUAUAAUAAAGUUUAAUCCAAUCUUAAAAGUUAAAAUGACAGCUAGAAGUUUUUGAGUGUAUAUUAGAAGACCAUCUAUCUUCUCUUAUUUUCUUUUGUAUUUAUUUAUAAUUUUUUUUAAGACAUCCUCCAUAGCACUGAACAAUGGAGGUGCUCUUAUUAUUUGUCACAGCCCUAGGUCCGGUUAGACCAAUUGUUAUUUGUCACAGCCCUAGGUCCUUUUCUCUCAAUCUAGAAGAUAACCAAGUUUGAGCUUUUUAGUUAUUGAAGUAGAGGAAGUCGUCGAAUCAAGGGUGAGAUUGAUUUGGUGUGACAGAUUCGUUUAUCGCUCGAUUGGUUUUUCUGUUUGAAUAAAAUAUGUGGAUGCAAAUGCAUGCAUUUUCCCAAUUUAGUACUAACAUCUAGAUAAUGCAUUGGAUGCAAAAUCAAUUGCAUCUCAAAUCAUCUUGAUAUUUUGGAUGGAAAAGUAGAAUUUAGAUGUAAAUUUUGCAUCCAGACAAUAGAAAAUACGGUAAUUUAUUCAGUGAAAUCAAAUAAGAUACAAGACAUGAUACAUCCACAAUACAACAAAGAUAAAUAUAAGCAAAUUUAAAUAAACAUCAACAAAUAUAUAAUUAAUAAUUAUAAAAAGUGAUGAAUGAGCAAAUUUUUAUGAUUCUUUCUAUACCAAAAUUUAUUCGCUAAAAAAUAAUUAAAUGUUUCUUUUUUGUUUUCUCCAAAGUCAAUCUAGUUUAAUGAAAUAGUCAGAAAAUGCCAACAUAUCUUUAAAUUAUCAAAUUUAUGAUUUAAUGCAAAAAUUAGGAAAUCAUAUUUUUCUAUUAAAACUAUAAAUAUUAAAAAACUAAAAAAAUAUAUAUAUAUUUGAAUAUUUAUGUUGGUCAACGCCGGUCAAACUGGUCAAUGCCGGAUUCCGGUGAAAAGUGUACUGGAAAAAAAAUGUUUGUGAUGUUGGCGACAUGACUACAUAUAGUGCGUAUAUGUGGGCAUGCGAUACAUAUAAUUUGUGUAGUUAGGGAUAAAUUUUUAAACUUCGGAUGUGUGACCAUGUAUUGUAGCAUACUUUAUGUAGCUAGGUAUCUUUUUUCCUUUUAAAUAUUAUUGUGUUAAAAACAUGUAAUAUGAGAAUUUAAAUAUAGUAACAUUUAUAACGAAACCUUCAAAAUAGGAGAAUUAGAAAAUAAACAAAACAAAAUUAGAAAGUUGUCAAAAGAAUGUUGUUCUGCAUCAACAUCAAAUAGUCAUUAAGUCCUAAGAAAAGGAUAUAGCUCAUAACUAAGAUUACAGGCUGUACCCAAAACUCUCGCUCCUUGUUUACCGUCGCAACACUUAGAAAGAUGGCUGAUACUCCAUUCCAAACAAGACGUACACUGCACCAUUGCAUACAGUUUAUUCGUCCCGAUUCUCUUCUCUCCUGCCGCAUAAUAUAACAACUCGAUGUCAUCCUUGUCGGCUUUAUCAGCUUUCGCAAUCAGCUGUUGGAAAAAAUCAUUUGUCUUCUUGUUAAACAACUUUGUAUCCCCUCUCACAUUGUUUGGGUUGUGCAUAGGGAAAGUAUUCUUGUAAUUGACUUUCCUUGGGGCUCCUUCAUUGAUCAUACUAAUAUCGAGAAAACAUUGAUCGUACCAUAUUAUCCCUCCUUUGUUUCUUGGACAUCUCUUACGAAACUGUCAAAUACAUAUACAUACAUGUCCUGGUUUACUUCAAAUGAUGAUUUAAUUUUUUUAAUUUUUCAAUGCAAAUAUAUGGUUUUUAUUUACUAAUUAUUUUACAACAAUUGAUUGAAAAAUGUUUUACAAUUUUUCUUAUGUACAAAACGAACAUAUAGUAUCUCUAUGUCUUUAUUAAUACUUUAAUAUUUUCGUUGUAAAAUUAUCUUUUUUUUUGUAAAUAUUUAUUUGUAAUUUUUAUAUUUAUAUUAACUAAUGUGGCGAAUGGCUCAUGUAUAUAAAAAAAUAUACAAAUAUAUUAUUACAAAUAUAUUGUAUUUAGCAUUUAUUAGUGAAAAGAAAUUUAGCAAAUAAAGUUUUUUAAUUGAAAUUAUGGUUAAAAACUUAAAAUUUUCAUAUGGUUCUCCUUCAAACAAUUAGAAAAAUAUAAACCGAUAAACCAUAACUUUUUUCUAGAAUUCCAACAUCUUUUGAUUUUGGUUUUGAUGACAUGGUUUUAGUUCGUGAAACAACUUACAUAUAAUGUUGUUUUCACAUGACAUUAUGUAUCAUUGCUAAAACAAACCAUAAAACUAAUUUGAAAAGCGUUUCACGUAUAUGUUCUUAAAUAUUGUAUUUCAUAAUAGGAUUUAAAUUUCAAAAAAGCGCCAUAAUUGAAAAAUAAUAAAUAUAGAUAGUUGGUUAAAAUAGUAAAUAAUUUCAAUAAAACAGAAAUCUUAACUGUGUCUGAAGAUUUAAUACAGAAUAACAAAAUGGUAGCAACGCUAAAACCGAUAAACCAUAACUUUUUUCUAGAAUUCCAACACCUUUUGAUUUUGGUUUUGAUUGCAUGAUUUUUUGUUCGUGAAACAACUUACAUAUAAUGUUGUUUUCACAUGACAUUAUGUAUCAUUGCUAAAACAAACCAUAGAACUAAAUGGUUUUCCUAUCUUAAACUACAUAUGUUCAUCAUUUGGUUGAGUACCCAAUUUUUGGUCCUUUUGAUGGGGAAACUAAAAUACUUUUAAAGACUAAUAUAAAUUUUGUUAUUUAGUUUUCCUAUGUUAAACUACAUAUGUUCAUCAUUUGGUUGAGUACCCAAUUUUGGUCCUUUUGACGGGGAAAUUAAAAUACUUUUAAAGACUAAUAUAAAUUUUAGCAACUUAAUUAAUUAGGCAUGCUAAACAAUAUUUGCCAACUUCAUCAUGAAAAAAAAAAGUAGAAACUGAAGGUAAAGAAGAUAUACAUUAUUUGUAUCUCAUCUAAAAGUGAGAAGGUAUAAGGUUUAAUUAGUAUAAUACUUAAUUUUGUCAUGGGACUUAUGAGUUACAUUUCAAAUAAUAAAUAUACCAUAAAUUGUAUGGCAAUUAAUUUUGUCAAACACAGUGGGAGUUACAUUUUUCAGAAUUAAUAUGCAAUAAAUUGUGAUUAGGAUUAUUAUCAUAUUUUUAAUACUUUAAAUUAUUUUAAAAUAAAAUGAAUUGAAUAAAUAUUGUUUGAGUAAAUUUCACUUAUUACAAAUAUUGAUAACCAAAAUGUUAUUAGGAGAUAUAUUGUCAAAAAAAUAAAUUUUUACUUCAAUUACAAAGAAAACCAUCAUAUUAAAUCAUAUAAAUAUUACUUCUUAAAUUAUAUGUAAAUUAAAUGAAGUUAAAUUAAAAUAUAGAAGAUAUUGUAAUAUUUAUUACAAAUAUUGAUAACCAAAAUAUUAUUAUGAGAUAUAUUGUCAAAAAACAUAAAUUUUUACUUCAAUUACAAAGAAAACCAUUAUAUUAAAUCAUAUUAAUAUUACUUCUUUUAAGAUUUUGAAAAAGAAAAUAAAUUUUUUUGUGAAGAAAAGAAAAGUAAUUUUCGUUUUGUUUUAGUUUAACAUAAUAUAUUCUUAGGAGAAAUAAUUAUUAUGCAUUUAUUUUUGGAGGAAUUAAUGUUUAGAUAAAAGUAAUUUUCGUUUCUCAUAAUAUGUCAUUAGGAGAAAAGUGACACAUGUCAACUUCUUAGAGACUCUCACCAAGAGAAACCUUAAAAUAUUAGUAUAUAAGAAGUUCGUUCCCCCAAGGCCCCAAGCAAUCUUAACGUUUCAAUAUAAGAUAAGAUAAUACUUUUGUUUUUUCACCGAACGAGAGUAUCUAUUUAAUUCUUCUUAACAAUUAUGAUAAUUUUUAUCAGUUGAUGCAUUGUUACCCGGCUCAAAUUUCUGUCAGCUACUUGUUAACUCUAAUCUGAGUUUUUGUUUCCAAUGAUCAUUUCUAUUUUGGCGAUAAUGUGAUGUUAUACACCGCACCACAAGUUAUAGAUCAUAUAUGCAAAAAUGUUAAAGUAGCAUUACCCCGGCGAGUGCGGUGGCAUAGCAGGAGUUGCACUUGGACCUGUAAGAGUCACCCCGACAUUGGAAUAUGACGGUAGCGGAAUUGGUACCGUCUUUAAUUGCGCUGUGUACGAACCCGUUUACAAAUUUUUCGGUAGCGACAUUACCGGUGAUAGAGUUGAGGUCUUUCUCGUACUCACUUCCUGGCUGGUAUUUUCCUUGUUCAACCCGACAUUUGUGGUUCAGAUACUCAUUAGUAAUAUUCAGGGAUGAAACGCUGCGUAUGAGGAGUUGUAUAGCCAAGAUAUGGAAAGAAACGAGAGACAUUUGGAUAGAGAGAAUGAAGAGUACAUUGUUUUCUUGAUUAUUAAGGGUUUGGAUUAAGAUGUUUAUAGAAGAUCACUCAGAAGGAUUUUAGCUAUUUGUCACAUUAGUAACUGGAUUAACUGUUUAUCUCAAAAAGAUAUUCUCUCUUUCGGUUUCUUUAUAAAAAGUUACUAGGUAAUAACCUGCACAUAGUGCAGGAUAAAUCUAUAUAGAUAAAAUUAGUGUUAUGAGUAAAGUUAUUUUUGAGGAUCUAAAAUUUGUUUGUGUAAAAACGAAAUAUAUAAUCCGUGAGAAUAUGUUUAGAUCAAACUAUUAUGUACCAACUAAAUAUAUAAUCCGCUAUUUCUUCAAUCUAAGCAAAUUUUUUUUUUUUUUAUUAUUUUUUUUUUGUGUAAGAAUAUGUUUCACCUGUGAAAUAUUAUAUCAAUGAUAUUAAAUAGGGAGACUCACAAAAAUGCCCCUUUUUCAAUACCCCUUUUCAAAAAUGCCCCUUUUGGAUGUCCAUUUUUAAAAAUACCCCUUUUAUGUACAAAAUGACUAAAUUACCCUUCUUUUAAUAAAAGAUAUCAUAAAUAUAUAAGGAAAUAUAACAAAAUUAGGUCCACAAAAUACAAAAUCUUUUUUGGCGGGAAAAGUGAUCCCCCAAUUUUUCCCGCCAAAACACUUGUAAAAAUUUGUAAAACCUUUAAAAUACCUUGUAAAAUUUUUUCCCGCCAAAAAUUUUUUUUUGCGGAAAAAGUGAUUCCGCAAAUUUUUUGGCGUUAAAUUUUUGGCGGGAAAAUUUUACAAGGUAUUUUAAAGGGUUUUUACAGGGUAUUUAUAAAGUUUUACAAUGUAUUUUAAAAGGUUUUACAACGUAUUUAUAAAGUAUUUAUAAGAUAUUAUAAGAUUUUACAAGCUAUUUUAUAAGGUUUUACAAGUUAUAAGGUUUUACAAGUUUUUUAUAAGAUUUUACAAGUUAUAAAUACCUUAUAAAACCUUAUAAGUACCUUGUAAAACCUUUUAAAAUACAUUGUAAAACCUUACAAAACAUUUGUAAAUACUCCGUAAAACCUUUAAAAUACCUUGUAAAUUUUUCCCGCCAAAAAAAUUUCGGCAAAAAAAUUGCGGAAUCACUUUUCCCGCAAAAAAAAAUUUUUGGCGGGAAAAUUUUUUGGCGGGAAAAAUUUUUACGGGAAAAUUUUACAAGGUAUUUUAAAGGUUUUUACAAGUGUUUUGGCGGGAAAAUUGCGGGAUCACUUUUCCCGCCAAAAAAUAUUUUGUAUUUUGUGGACCUAAUUUUGUUUCAAAUAAGGGUAAAAUGGUCAUUAAAAAUUAAAAGAGGGCAAACUUAAAAAUGGACUCUCAAAAGGGGCAUUUUUGAAAAGGGGUAUUGAAAAAGGGGCAUUUUUAACAAUUUCUCUAUUAAAUAAGUCAAUUUCCUAUAGUAAUGAUUAUUAUGAUGGUUUUUUUGGAAAAUUUAAAUAUGUGAAUAGUAAUCAAUUUUUUUUAAUAGGUGAAUAAAUUCAGAUUUUGAAAAUGUUUUAGAUCUAAUAAUGUUAUAAUCAUUAAAUCUGUUAUAAAAAUGAUUAAAAUAUAUUUUAAAAUUGAAAUGUUGGAUUUUUUUAAUUAAUUGAAAAGAAAUAUUCUUUAAUCAUUCAAUAGCAAUUAUGUACAAAUAUCUAUAAAAAUGAGGGCAAUAAAUNNNNNNNNNNNNNNNNNNNNNNNNNNNNNNNNNNNNNNNNNNNNNNNNNNNNNNNNNNNNNNNNNNNNNNNNNNNNNNNNNNNNNNNNNNNNNNNNNNNNAAAAAAAGGCCGGGGCACGGUUGCCCCCAGACGGCAGGUGCAGCUGCCAGGCCCUCGCCAAAGCGCUGAUCUCAAAGCCAAUAAAUUCGAAUCCUCUAACGACGACACAUCAGCAUUUUCUUGAGAAUGCUUCUCUAAUAAUAUAUAGGGGAUGUUUGAUCAUUUCAGUUUGUAGAAGAAAUGUUUUUUUUUUUUUGGUCUGUAACAGAUAGGAGAGAGGGGUCGGGUAUUUUUCGGCGAAGGGUGAGGAUGGCCAAUGGAAAAGUCAAAGUUUAAAUGUUGUACUAAGUUAAAAUUCUUAGAAAAUAGAAUCACCACAAGUUUUGAUAAAGUUUAAAUGCUCUAUUAUUUAUGGUCUAAAGUAGUUUUAAGGGAAAAGUGCAUGUAAUGUAAACAAAGUUUUUUUGAUUGAUUUAUAUUCAUAAUAAAAAAAAGAACUAGAUAGUAACCCGCAGUGUACCGCGGGAUAAUUUUGGCGUUUACGGUUUAUAAGUUUAGACGUCUUUUUUUAUUUGAUAUUAGGUAAAUUAGUGUAUAGUUUAGUAUAUGAUUUCCCAUUAGCAUGUUAUGUUAGUAUAUUGUAUUUGUCUUAGAGAUUAUAAAUAAUUUGUUUUGGGUUCUACAGAUUUAUAUAAAAAUAUAUGAUAAUGUUAUACUUUUUGUUGUGAUUUGUUAUAUAAUUCCAUGAGAGAAUAUAAUUAUUGUUUUUAUUUUCAAAAAGUUAUUAUAAAACUGUAUAUCAUUUUCAUAAGAUUAGUAAUUUAUAUAAAUAAAUUAUGUAAAUCAUUCAAUUUUUGUUGUAGGCCAAAAAAGGUUGAGCUGCUAAUAACAAUUUGGAACAGCAAAUAUUGACGAAGCCCAUUUGAUUUAUGAGUUAUUUACCUUCAAACACACUUUUUCAAAAGUGUUUUCAAUAUGAGACACUUUGUGAUAUCAACCCACUUUCUUUUGGAGUCUUUUACUCUUUUACCCUCUAAUCAUAUUCUUUACUCUAAUAUUCUUCAUCCUCUCUUCUCACAUUCAUUUCUUUUGUUUCUCUCUCCCCGUAUCCUCUCAUUCUUUAUCCCUCUCUUCCCUUUUCUCUUUCUUUCCAAAUUCUAAUCCAUCAAUUUAAUUUCAGAUUCGCUUUUCUUUUUUUAACUGUGUUUUUUACAUCCAAGAAUGGAAAAAAAGAAAAUUCUCCACUUCCUCUAAAUUUGGUCUUUCUGAUUGUGGAACUUGUGGUCGUGUGUGUGUUUAUCUACUAGUCUUUCAUCGAUUUGAUCUUUGAAAUCAGACGUGGAUAGAGGCCCUAAUCCCAUAUGUCUCCCUUCUCAUGAGCAAUCCAUCUCCAGAUUCAUAUAACUAUAUUUCUCUAUCUCUUAAUUUUCGAUAUAAUUCUUUUGGAACCUUAAUUCAUUGUUUUCUUUUCUAAACUAGAGUUUGGUAGAAUGAGUAAUGUGAAAUUUUGUGGUUUUUGGGUGUUUUGCUGUUGUAGUUUCAAUUCAAAUUCAAUCUUUUUGGGUCCAAAUGUGUCUAACUAAAUGAAUCAGUCCAUUUGUGAACGAAACAAUCAAGUAAUGCUCGUUGAUUUGAUGAAGAGUCAAAAAGUGAAUUUGGUGAGAUUAGAUCAGUUAUUUAGAACUUUCUUGUGUCCAUUUAGCAGCGAACACAUGUACGAAGCAAAGUCGUCCAUCUCAACUGGAACAUCUACGUGAAUUGUUGAGAGUCACGACUUUUAAAAGUUGAAGUUUCAUGGUCGGAUUGAUUGGCUUGCAGGUUUUGAAUCAAGAUUGUUGACGAAGAUUUUGUGUCCAUUUAGUAGCGAACAAGGAGUUAAAGUAAGUCGAUUUGCAAUGGAUGCGAUACCGUGGUUGAGAUGCGGUGGCUACGAUGCGGUGACUAUGACGCGGUGGUUACGAUGCAACUUCAAACACAAUAGUUGCAAACAGAGACUUUGUGUUGACGAUUAUCUUUCAUAUAUAAAGUUGUGAAUUGAUAUAAAAAUCAUGUGUAUGAUUAUAAAAGGAUGAAAAAAAUUAUGUGUGAUAAUAUAGGAUUUAGGGUUUAGGUUUUAGUAUGCUGAAGUUUCACUUACCCUUAGAGAAAAUCAAUCAAAUAGUAAAAUGGUCAAAUGGUCGUGGACAUUGUAUAUAAAAACUUGAGAUAUAUUAAUGUUAACCAUGUGUUCAAUGUUGAAUGGUUAGAUAAACAAAAAAAUAUGUCUAAUAAUAAAAUAUGAACAAUAGACAUUUGAUCAGAGUUUAACGGAUGUAUAGUUUAUCGAGAAACUUUAGUCUUAUUCAUCUAUGUGAUCAGAGUUUAGCUGAUAUGUUUGGAUGAUCGGUAGUUAUAAAUGUUGGUGUAAUAUGUUUGUUCAAAUAUCUAUAGAUAUUGUCUGUUUGGAUGAGUUUGUAUGUGUGUCUGUUUACAAAAACAGAAUUCAUAUGUUCAAAUGUUCGAAGGCGUUUUAUAUUAUGCUUGAGAUAAAUUAAUGUUAACCAUGUGUUCAGUGUUGGAUGGUCAUAUAAACGAAAAAAGCAUAUCUAUGAAAAACAGACUUGUUCAGAGUUUUGCGGAUGUAUAGUCCAUCGAGAAACCUUAUCUUCAUUAAUCUAUGUGGUCAGAGUUUAGCAGAUAUGUUUGGAUGAUCGAAGUUAAAAAUAUUGAUGUAAUAUGUUUUUUUGGUGAGUUUGAUGUAGUAUGUUUGUUCAAGGAUCAAUUGAUAUCCACUUAAUAAAAAAUAAAUGGUCAAUUAGAAAUGGAUAAUAUAUAAUAUAGUUAUUUAUUUAAAAUAUAGCAAAAUGGAUCUUAAAAUGUAUGAAAAGUUAAAUCUUAGUCUAUUGUAUAAAGAAAUAUAUAAUAUGUGUGAUACAAAAUAACUAAAGUAAUAAUAAAUAAAGAGAGAAUGAGAGAAAAAAAAAGAGAGAGAGAGAAAGAAAAGUGACGAGAAGGGAAAAAAAAAGAAAAGAAUUAUACUAAUGUUUAUGUGUCCACGUUUUUGUUUGCACAUAUGCUGUAUUUUAAGGGUAUUUUGGUAUUGAUAUAAAAUUAACAGUGUAAAAAUCUUGAAAAACUGAGAAAGUGUCUGUUUUGAAACGAAACUCACAAAAAGUAUGCCAAAGUGUAAGUCACCCUUGAUUUAUUCCGCCCAUACGUAAACCGUUACCAACAAACACAGCCAAAACCAACUUGUCUUCUUCGACAGAGAAAAAGGGAUUUCGAGUUUAUGACGUAAAAAUUAUUUUAUGAAUCGAAAGUUGUAUGAAAUCAUCUAUUGCAAUUGUAUGUCAGCCGAUUCAUCACCCAGCAGAUAAAAAGUCCAGGUAAUUUGAUUACUUGAUUCCCGAUAAAUGAACACAAUUACUUUCAUUGUGAGCUCCUCUAAUAGUUUCCAAUUUGUUUGUGAGGAACUUGGGUAAAAUCUAACCGUGAGGAGAUGUGUAUGAGACGAUCCUCUAGUAUUAGUAACUCAGUAUUUUUAGGAGCAAAAUUUCGAUGAUGACUGUGUUGAUUUUUAGAUCUGCCGCUUUUUACUUUUACAGACCAUAUGCAAUGGUGGUUCUUUGGCCCGUCCCACAUGAUUUAAUUUUAAAAAUUAAAUCAAAAAAAACAAAAAAAACUGGAGGACGACUCUUUAAACUUCUCUAUUUGUGGGCCCCACUGACAUGUGGCGGCCAGCGAUUGGUUAUCUUUUUUUUUUAAUUCUAAAAAUAUUAAUAAAAAAACUACCUAAGGACAAUUUGGUGUCCUUCACCAUUGCAUAUGGUCUUACUUCCUUAAAAUUUCUUUUACAGUAAAAGCAUCAUACUUAUACUACUUCUUACGUUGUCCUACUUACUUAAUUGUCUCAUUUUAGCAACACAAAAUAACCCAUAUACAAUUGGGCUUUAAUUAGCUUUUUGCCCAAUGGCCUAUUUCCUCUUCCUCGUUCCUUGUUGACGUUUCUUCCUUUUCCUUCCACCAACGCUUCUCUUCAUUCUUCUUCACUCUUGCUUGAGAAUCUCUUUGCUCUCGAUCAUCUUCUCAUCUUUCUCCUCUGAUAUCUCUUGUACCAAAUCAACCAAAAGAUCAACUUCCAACACUCCCUCUUGAUUCUUUUGAUUGAUUUCCAAAUUUUCCAAAUUCCACUCUAGGGAUUCGAUCCCCAUAACUCUCUGAUGUUCUCCUGUGACUUCCUUCUGCCAUGGAUACAUUCCUUUCACGACCUCUGCAUAACUCACAUGUAAUUUCUCUUUCUCCCUCAUAGUUCCAAAUUCUACCAACCUAUUGAGUUUUGGCAAGAUCGUAGCUUCCUCUGAUUUGAUUCCCAUCUCGGAAUUUUUUUGCUUUUCAUUAAUCUUGACAGGAAUCUGAGAUUGCUUCUUCUGCUGAUACUUCUACACAUAACCCAAGUCACAGAUCUCGUUUUCGGCAAAUCCCUGUUUGUUCCUUGUCUUUUUCUCCCUCAUGCUCUUGUUCUUUAGAAUUCGAUCUGCCUCUUGGUUCUUCUCCCUCACUUUCCCUUCAGUAAGUUUCUCAUCUGCUCUCUUCUGUUUCCCUUUUGUCAUGGAGCUUCAUGGAUUCAUGAUGUAAAAUAUUGGAAGCUCGCCUAUCUUGGAAUGUAAUAAGAUUGAAAAUUUGAGAUAGGUAACAAUAAAAUACCUUCCUUUAAGUUUCUGAGUUGUAAAUCUUGCAUAGUUUUAUUUAAAGUGAUUGACAAAAUUGCAAACCAAUUUCUGUUCCGAUGAGAAACAAAUUCACUUUAACUAAAAACAGAAAAACAUUAACUAAUAAACAUUUUAAAAAACACAACCAUAGUCAUUAUGGGGAAGACAUUUUCCUACAUACUAACGAAAAAUUGAUCUAAUAGCAGAAGUUAUUAGAUUUUAUAGUAGAGAUUUAAGAGGUCAUAUGUUCGAUCUUCGUUGUGAGUGGUGUGUUCUCCUUAAUUUAACAUGGUAUUGGUUCCGUCGUUGUACGAACCUACAGACGUCACUGUCCUCGUCCUUGUCGUGGGGGUUUGGCAGACUACUGUUACUUGUCGUGGACAGUGACGUCUGUAGGUUCGUUGGUUUACGCCCAUAUUGUAUUUGGGUUUAGUAUGUAGGAAAAUGUAAUAACUUGACACUUGGAUUUAAGAGGUCAUAUGACACGUGUCGCGAUCUCUUGAGUUACUAACUUCGAAAACCCAACUUUAUAUAAUAAGAUGCAAUAUGCAAUCGAUUUAGUAAUGUUGGUUAAGUACUUGUACCGGUUUGUGGUCCAAUAUACUAUGUAAGGAAAACUUUUCCCUUUUCAGCAUAAUAAUCAAACUAGAUAGUGACCUGCGGUGCACCGCGGGGUAAUUUUGGCUUUACGGUUUAUAAGUUUAGACUAAACUUAUUUAAACCCAAAUCAAAUUUAUUUUUAACUAAAAGUACUAACCCUAGAGCACACUUAGCCAAAAUUCAGAGACUCUCGCCUCCUUCUUUCUCUCGCCGAAACAACAAUUUCCAGAAGGUUUCCAGCUCUAGAUCCUUUCAGUCCUCUGAAGCUAAAAAGGUUUGUCAAUUUUUGUUUGAAUUUCGUUGUUCCAUAGCUUAAAAUGUUGUUUUGUAGCGAGAAAUUGAGCUUGUCAAAAAAAAUUAGGUAGGGAUGUUGAGAAAUUGAGUAGCUGUGUGCUUACUCUUGGGAUAGUUAAAUUGUUCAACUCUUUGCUUAUGUUCUUGAUAUGUUAUCUCUUCUUCAGGUACUGUAAAGAAUGGCCAAUCGACAUGGCGACGUCAUUGCUCAUGUGAAACGUAACAAUGUACUUGUGGACGUGCACCAUGGGUCCAACGGGUAUUUCCUGAUGAUGAAAAACGGCCGAGUUCUUACACGAGCACGGUGGCCAAAGGUAUGCUCCUAUUUUCUGUUAAACAUAGAACUUUACUUAUAUGGUUUAUGUUUUCUAUUUGCAGAACACUGAUCCAAACCAUCUUUGGUUGGACAUCGAAAACUGUGAUGUCCCAAAGGAUCUACAGCCAGAACUGCGGUACCACAGGAUCAAGUUGGAAGACCGCAACUACACAGGACCGCUCACCAUCACUGCUAUUUUUGCCAAUACUACAGAGCACAUAUCUCUAGAUAUGCUUGCAAAGCUGCCGGCAGAUAUCAGAACUGUGGAUAUGGGAUUGUGUAAGUAGCUUCUCAUCUUAUAUAAAAAUAUUUUUACUGAUUUAAGAGUUUUGUCUCAUUUCAGAUAAUGCAUCUAAAGAAUAACUAAAAAGAUGAUGCUGACCGUGCAAUCGAAAAGGAGAUAGAAGCGUUUUCGAAUAACCCUGUGAACGAUCCUGCUCGCAACGUGAUGGUUAUGAGCGGAGACAAGAUCUUUGUUAAGACACUGCGGGACCUCAAGGGAAAAGGCUACAGGACCUUAGCUGCAUUCAGGGUGUCUAGCGACGAGGAGGAGCUCAAUGCCCAAGUUUGGGACUCUUGGGUUUUCAGGCAACUUCUAAACCUUCCUUGGACUGUUGGGGAAAAGCCUAGGGAGGAGCAGGACAGGAAAAGGAAGAGAUCAUCAAGUUCAGCGGUUCUGCAACACUACUGCCGUGUGUCUAACGAAAAGAAACUUCCUGCUUUGGUUAGCUUCCUGAAGAAGUCCCCAGACCAAAAGGUGGUCAUUUUUUUCUCCAGUUGCAGCUCUGUAGAAUAUCAUUAUGAAAUGAUGAGAGCUUUGGAUAACGAUCUGCGUUGCUUGCGAAUCCACGGGAAUCUGGAGUUGGAGAACAAUCUUCAGGCAUUUUCAGAGUUCAAGAUAAAUGGAGGAGGUAUUUUCUUGCUCUGCAGUGAUGCUGUGGCACUUGGUCCUCACAUUCAAGGAGUGGUAAGUUUGUGCUCUAUAAAAUAAAUGUUCAAAUAGUUCUGAGAUAACAUUUACCAUAUUUGAAUUUCAGGACUGGAUUGUGAGGUUUGAUACGCCUCUCAAACUAGGGCAUUACCUUUUGAUACACCAAAAAAUAAUUAAAAAACCAAAAACCAANNNNNNNNNNNNNNNNNNNNNNNNNNNNNNNNNNNNNNNNNNNNNNNNNNNNNNNNNNNNNNNNNNNNNNNNNNNNNNNNNNNNNNNNNNNNNNNNNNNNGUUUAUAGAGCACAAACUUACCACUCCUUGAAUGUGAGGACCAAGUGCCAAAGCAUCACUGCAGAGCAAGAAAAGACCUCCUCCAUUUGUCUUGAACUCUGAAAAUGUCUGAAGAUUCUUCUCCAAAUCCAGAUUCCCGUGGAUUCGCAAGCAACGCAGAUCGUUAUCCAAAGCUCUUAUCAUUUCAUAAUGAUAUUCUACAGAGCUGCAACUAGAGAAAAAAAUGACCACCUUUUGGUCUGGGUACUUCUUUAGGAAGCUAACCUAAGCAGGAAAUUUCUUUUCGUUAGACAUACGGCAAUAGUGUUGCAGAACCGCUGAACUUGAUGAUCUCUUCCUUUUCCUGUCCUGCUCCUCCCUAGGCUUUUCCCCAACAGUCCAAGGAAGGUUUAGAAGUUGCCUGAAAACCCAAGAGUCCCAAACUUGGGCAUUGAGCUCCUCCUCGUCGCUAGACACCCUGAAUGCAGCUAAGGUCCUGUAGCCUUUUCCCCUGAGGUCCCGCAGUGUCUUAACAAAGAUCUUGUCUCCGCUCAUAACCAUCACGUUGCGAGCAGGAUCGUUCACAGGGUUAUUCGAAAACGCUUCUAUCUCCUUUUCGAUUGCACGGUCAGCAGCAUCUUUUAGUUCUUCUUUAGAUGCAUUAUCUGAAAUGAGACAAAACUCUUAAAUCAGUAAAAAUAUUUUUAUAUAAGAUGAGGAGAUGAGAAGCUACUUACACAAUCCCAUAUCCACAGUUCUGAUAUCUGCCGGCAGCUUUGCAAGCAUAUCUCUGCAUAUCUAGAGAUAUGUGCUCUGUAGUAUUGGCAAAAAUAGCAGUGAUGGUGAGCGGUCCUGUGUAGUUGCGGUCUUUCAACCCGCGCUUGAUCAUGUGGUACAGCAGUUCUGGCUGUAGAUCCUUUGGGACAUCACAGUUUUCGAUGUCCAACCAAAGAUGGUUUGGAUCAGUGUUCUGCAAAUAGAAAACAUAAACCAUAUAAGUAAAGUUCUAUGUUUAAAAGAGUUGUUAAAAGAAAAUAGGAGCAUACCUUUGGCCACCGUGCUCGUGUAAGGACUCGGCCGUUUUUUAUCAUCAGGAAAUACCCGUUGGACCCAUGGUGCACGUCCACAAGUACAUUGUUACGUUUCACAUGAGCAAUGACGUCGCCAUGUGGAUUGGCCAUUCUUUACAGUACCUGAAGAAGAGAUAACAUAUCAAGGACAUAAGCAAAGAGUUGAACAAUUUAACUGUCCCAAGAGUAAGCACACAGCUACUCAGCUGACCCAACACAAAUCAAGUCCAGAGUUCAUUGAUAACACCAUUACAUUGUAAUUGAUAACACAAGAACAAAACAAUAGAGCAAUAUCCCAAUCAGCCUUAACAAGCAAGAGUUUGAAGGGUAAAGGAAACAUUCACAAAUUCAUUAGAUAUGAGACAUAAGCAAUACCAUGAAACAAGAAACAGAAGUCAUCCAAUCCCAGCAGAACAAAGCGAACAUAUAUUGACAUACAUACAAAACGAUGAUACAAAAAAAUAUUAAAAAUUCAUAGAAGGAGAAGAUGAUUACGAGUUGUUAAGGGGACGUAUCUAAUUUCCAAAAGAUUUUUGAUUUGAAAAAUGAGAAGAUAAGAAGAAUCUCUCAAGUAAAUGUCAUAGUACUUGACCAUGCUCUAAUUUCCACAAGCCAAGCUUUGAAAUUUCAUCGAGAAAAAUCAAUUACAUAUCAUAAAAUCAAGACCCAUCAAUCAGAUUUCGACAAUGCGUUAUGCGAUUCGAACUAAAUUUCAUUCUAGGGUUUAUUUAAGGGAUUGUGAAGGUUAAACGAUGCACAAAGCGAACUGCCCUAUGCAGAGAGAGAGAGACAGAGAGAGAAGAGAAGUUUACCGGAGACUGUGUAAUUAGCGAUUCAGCGGGAGAUUUUGAGCGGUGGAGACGGUCACAGAGGAGUCGCGGCGAUUGUGAAGUGUUUGAGUGACGACGGACUGAAGAAAGAGAGAGAGUGAGAGUAAGAUAAUGAACACGAAAUUUCUCGCUACAAAACAACAUUUUAAGCUAUGGAACAACGAAAUUCAAACAGAAAUUGACAAACCUUUUUAGCUUCAGAGGACUGAAAGGAUCUAGAGCUGGAAACCUUCUGGAAAUUGUUGUUUCGGCGAGAGAAAGAAGGAGGCGAGAGUCUCUGAAUUUUGGCUAAGUGUGCUCUAGGGUUAGUUGUCAGUGGAUCAGGGUUAAGAUAGGAUGGGCUUAGAUGGGCCUAGAUAGGAUGGGCUUAGAUGGGCCUAGAAAUAUUGGGUUUAGAGUUUAAUUAGUCCAUAAUUUUUUAGUUAGCCUAAAUUAAAUUAGCCAAUUAAUCAUUAGUUAGUACUUUUAGUUAAAAAUAAAUUUGAUUUGGGUUUAAAUAAGUUUAGUCUAAACUUAUAAACCGUAAAGCCAAAAUUACCCCGCGGUGCACCGCAGGUCACUAUCUAGUUUGAUUAUUAUGCUAAAAAAGGAAAAGUUUUCCUUACAUAGUAUAUUGGACCACAAACCGGUACAAGUACUUAACCAACAUUACUAAAUCGAUUGCAUAUUGCAUCUUAUUAUAUAAAGUUGGGUUUUCGAAGUUAGUAACUCAAGAGAUCGCGACACGUGUCAUAUUUAUCGGUUAUAGAUGUUGACACAUGUCAAAAAAAUAUUUGCUUUUAACAAUUUUAAAUAUGUAAAAAGAUAAUUAUGAGAAAAUAUUAAAAUUUAAAUAAAUUUGAAAAUAGAAAAAAAUAAUGUUAAGAAAAUUAUAAAUAAAAUAAUUUUAAAAAUCUAAAAAGAUAAUGUUGACAAAGCUCAGAGGAAUGAUUUUUCUCUACUUCAUGUAAAGUGAUUUUUUUUUAAAACUAUGUCGAUAAUUACGGGUAAAUAUAUGUAUUUUUAAAAUAUAUUGUCGAAUUAAUAAAAAAAAAAACCUAAAAUUUUCAUCCCUACUUCAUGAAAAGUAAAUUUUUUUAAAAAAACUCUUUCGAUAAUUAUAGGUAAAUAUAUGUAUUUUUUUUAAAUGAUGAAUUUUCCCUACUUCAUGAAAAAUGAAUUUUUAAAAAAACUCUGUCGAUAAUUACGGGUAAAUAUAUGUAUUUUUUAAAUAUAUCGUUGAAUUAAUUAAAACAAAGCCUAAAUUUUUUACCUCUACUUCAUGAAAAGUGAAUUUUUUAAAAAACUCUUUCGAUAAUUACGGGUAAAUAUAUGUAUUUUUUUAAAUCUAUCGUCGAAUUAAUGGAAAAAAAAUUUAAAAUUUUCACCGCAUUUCAGUUUAUACCUUGAUAGGUAUUCAUAUCAGCUCAUAUGGAUUUAUUGGGUUUUAUAACUGUUAAUAUAAGUUUAUAGAAUUGAAAAAAAAAAAAUAGAAAUUAUAAUUAUGUUUUUAUUAUGGUUAUAAAUUUGGAGGAUGUGGAAAAAACCAUAUGUAUCGAUGCAUGAAGAUUUCAGUAAUGUUUCAACUGAUUGGUCUAGACGCGAUCAUCGUAUGAUAAAGUAAGUUUUGAUCAAAAACUAAUUAUUUUGGUAUUGGUUAUAUGUUUUAAUAAUUGGUGUCGAACUAUUUUGUUAACGUUUAGUAGGUUGAUACUCUAUGAUUUAUUUUAUUGGAUAAAUGUAUAAUAUGUUUUACUUUUGAUGUGAUUAUUUAGGGUUAGUGUACUAAUGUUUUUGUGGAUGCGAGGAUUUAGAGACGUUCCUUUCUGUUUAUUGUGUUAUAAUAGAGGUUUUGAUCUAAAUGUGAUAUUUUUGUAUGCUUUUACACGUUUUGAUAAGUUACAAAUUCUUUUGUAAACGUUUAUGAGGUUGAUACGUAAAGAUUGAUUUCACCGGAUGAAGAUAUAAAAUUUUGAAACAUGAAUGAUAAUGAAAAAAUAUAUGAAAAUAAUUAAUAAACAAAGAGAAAAUUAAAUUAGAUAAUUUAUAAAUACUUUAUAGAAUAUCUAAUUUUAUUUUUUAUACGGGUUACAAAAAUUUUAGUUAUAAACCCGCGUACGCGGGUCCUAAUUUUAUUUUCUUACACGGGUUAUAAAUUUUUUUGUUUUAAACCCGCGAAUACGCGGGUCCUAAUCUAGUUAUUAAUAAAAUAUAGGAUAGAUAAGAUAGAUAAGAGGGUCCGAAUGGUAACCGCGUUUUUUGUGGUGCAGAGAAAGCAGUAUUACAGUGCGGUACGGUUUCAACUGCGGUACGUACGGGAGAAAUAUAUUGGAAGGUACAAAAACCGGUACAGAUUAUAGAUUAUAUAUAUAUAUAUAUAUAUAUACCGUUAAUACACAAAUUGAUUAAAAUAUAAAUUUAGUUUUUAACAUACAUAUUGUAAAUAUUAUUAAUUGUUUUAAAAUAAAUAAAAUUUUAUUAUAAUAUACCAAUUUUAUUUAUCUAUAUACAAAUAAAUAAAAUAAUACAUAACCUGUUACUACAAUAAAUUUUGAAUUUAAAAAUUGUAGAUUAAUAAAUAUUGAAUUAGAUAUUAUUACAAUAAAUAUUGAAUUUGAUAUCAGAAUUUUUUAAAAAAAAUUUCUUGUAUUUUUUUGGAAUUUUUAUAAAAAGAAACAUUUAGAAAUGAUAGUGUAUCACUGAUAUCUGUAUAUGUGAUUUCUAUGUGAGUUGAAUUCCUCCUAUAUGUUUAGGCCAGAAAAAUGAUAGUGUAUCACUGAAAUUCGUAUAUUGUGUUCACAAUUGAGAAUAACUUUUUUUUUUGUAUUCGAGUGGAAUUUUNNNNNNNNNNNNNNNNNNNNNNNNNNNNNNNNNNNNNNNNNNNNNNNNNNNNNNNNNNNNNNNNNNNNNNNNNNNNNNNNNNNNNNNNNNNNNNNNNNNNCCAUGAGCUACUCUCUGGGAGGUUCUUAUCUUCUUAUCAACGUUUCCUUUAGUGUCUUUCAUUUCCUUGACUGUAUUCGUCAUUUGAUGCUAAGUAGAUUGUUCAUUUGUUACACGCCUUAAAAGGAUGAACAAACUGAUGACAUCGCUUGAAUAUUUUGCAACAUCGCUAAUUACUGGCCUAAACAUAUAGGAGGAAUUCAACUCACAUACAAAUCACAUAUACUAAUAUCAGUGAUACAAUAUCAUUUCUAAAUGUUUCUUUUUAUAAAAAUUCCAAAAAAAAUACAAGAAAUUUUUUUUUAAAAAUUCUGAUAUCAAAUUCAAUAUUUAUUGUAAUAAUAUCUAAUUCAAUAUUUAUUAAUCUACAGUUUUUUAAUUCAAAAUUUAUUGUAGUAACAGGUUUUGUAUUAUUUUAUUUAUUUGUAUAUAGAUAAAUAAAAUUGGUAUAUUAUAAUAAAAUUUUAUUUAUUUUAAAACAAUUAAUAAUAUUUACAAUAUGUAUGUUAAAAACUAAAUUUAUAUUUUAAUCAAUUUGUGUAUUAACGGUAUAUAUAUAUAUAUAUAUAUAUAUAUAUAUAUAAUCUAUAAUCUGUACCGCUUUUUGUACCUCAAAUAUAUUUCUCCCGUACGUACCGCAGUUGAAACCGUACCGCACUGUAAUACUGCUUUCUCCGCACUACAAAAAAUGCGGUUACCAUUCGGACCCUCUUAUCUAUCCUAUCUAUCCUAUCUUUUAUUAAUAACUAGAUUAGGACCCGCGUAUACACGGGUUUAAAACAAAAAAUUUAUAAACCGUGUAAGAAAAUAAAAUUAGGACCAGCGUACGCGGGUUUAUAACUAAAAUUUUUGUAACCCGUAUAAAAAAUAAAAUUAGAUAUUCUAUAAAGUAUUUAUAAAUUAUCUAAUUUAAUUUUCUCUUUGUUUAUUAAUUAUUUUCAUAUAUUUUAAUUAUAUAUUUUUACAUUAUCAUUCAUGUUUCAAAAUUUUAUAUCUUCAUCCGGUGAAAUCAAUCUUUACGUAUCAACCUCAUAAACGUUUACAAAAGAAUUUGUAACUUAUCAAAACGUGUAAAAGCAUACAAAAAUAUCACAUUUAGAUCAAAACCUCUAUUAUAACACAAUAAACAUAUCAAACGUCUCUAAAUCCUCGCAUCCACAAAAACAUUAGUACACUAACCCUAAAUAAUCACAUCAAAAGUAAAACAUAUUAUACAUUUAUCCAAUAAAAUAAAUCAUAGAGUAUCAACCUACUAAACGUUAACAAAAUAGUUCGACACCAAUUAUUAAAACAUAUAACCAAUACCAAAAUAAUUAGUUUUUGAUCAAAACUUACUUUAUCAUACGAUGAUAACGUCUAGACCAAUCAGUUGAAACAUUACUGAAAUCUUCAUGCAUCGAUACAUAUGGUUUUUUCCACAUCCUCCAAAUUUAUAACCAUAAUAAAAACAUAAUUAUAAUUUCUAUAAUUUUUUUUUCAAUUCUAUAAACUUAUAUUAACAGUUAUAAAACGCAAUAAAUCCAUAUGAGCUGAUAUGAAUACAUAUCAAGGUAUAAACUGAAAUGCGGUGAAAAUUUUAAAUUUUUUUUUUCCAUUAAUUCGACGAUAGAUUUAAAAAAAUACAUAUAUUUACCCGUAAUUAUCGAAAGAGUUUUUUUAAAAAUUCACUUUUCAUGAAGUAGAGGUAAAAAAUUUAGGCUUUUUUUUUAAUUAAUUCGACGAUAUAUUUAAAAAAUACAUAUAUUUACCCGUAAUUAUCGACAGAGUUUUUUUAAAAAUUCAUUUUUCAUGAAGUAGGGAAAAUUCAUCAUUUAAAAAAUACAUAUAUUUACCUGUAAUUAUCGAAAGAGUUUUUUUAAAAAAAUUUACUUUUCAUGAAGUAGGGAUGAAAAUUUUAGGUUUCUUUUUUAAUUAAUUCGACGAUAUAUUUUAAAAAUACAUAUAUUUACCCGUAAUUAUCGACAUAGUUUUUUUAAAAAAUCACUUUACAUGAAGUAGAGAAAAUUCAUUCCUCUGAGCUUUGUCAACAUUAUCUUUUUAUAUUUUUAAAAUUAUUUUAUUUAUAAUUUUCUUAACAUUAUUUUUUCUAUUUUCAAAUUUAUUUAAAUUUUAAUAUUUUCUCAUAAUUAUCUUUUUACAUAUUUAAAAUUGUUAAAAACAAAUAUUUUUUUGACAUGUGUCAACAUCUAUAACCGAUAAAUAUGACACGUGUCGCGAUCUCUUGAGUUACUAACUUCGAAAACCCAACUUUAUAUAAUAAGAUACAAUAUGCAAUCGAUUUAGUAAUGUUGGUUAAGUACUUGUACCGGUUUGUGGUCCAAUAUACUAUGCAAGGAAAACUUUUCCCUUUUCAGCAUAAUAAUCAAACUAGAUAGUGACAUGUGGUGCACCGCGAGGUAAUUUUGGCUUUACGGUUAUAAGUUUAGACUAAACUUAUUUAAACCCAAAUCAAAUUUAUUUUUAACUAAAAGUACUAACCCUAGAGCACACUUAGCCAAAAUUCAGAGACUCUCGCCUCCUUCUUCUUUCUCUCGCCGAAACAACAAUUUCCAGAAGGUUUCCAGCUCUAGAUCCUUUCAGUCCUCUGAAGCUAAAAUGGUUUUUCAAUUUCUGUUUGAAUUUCGUUGUUCCAUAGCUUAAAUGUUGUUUUGUAGCGAGAAAUUGAGCUUGUCAAAAAAAAAUUAGGUAGGGAUGUUGAGUAAGGCGUUGCCUGAAUAUGCGAAUUCUAAAACGGCGGUGUGGUGGGACAUGGACACCUGUCCGGUUCCAGAUGGUUAUGAUGCUGGUCGGGUCCGUCCGAUAAUAGAAGGGGCGUUGAAGGAGUUGGGAUACUAUGGUCCUGUAACUAUCACAGCCAUGGGAAACCUGAAGGAAGCAACUGCUCACUUCCUGCAAAGGCUCUCUUCCACUGGAAUCGUGGUUCAACACGCCAUCACCGGUUAGUUAAUUAAUCCUCUGGAGUUUUUUUAAUUUUUUUGGAAGUUUGUGGAUUCUUCAUCUGUCCUUUGCUUUCACAGAUUGCGUAGGCACACUCAUUUUCAGUGAUUUGAUGGAAUUCAAAAGCAAUAAUUUACCACCAGCUACAAUAAUGCUCAUAUCCGAUAAGGUGGAGGAAGAAUUGUCUUUCCCUCUUGGCCGGAAUCAACAAAUUCGUAGGGGAUACAACAUUGUUCGGGCACGUUCAUUUGGUGGUACUCUGUCACGUAUCGAGCAUACUGCAGAUUGGCGCUGGAAAACCCUACUGGAGGCGGCGGCAGAUUCAGUGUCUCAGGACACAACAACAAGUUAUGUUCUUCGGAAAUGCAGUUCGUCCUCUGCCUUGUCUUCGUUUGUAUGCAGAGCAUGCAAAUUUACUGGCCUAAGCGUUGCAAGUUUCACCAGUCAUCUCUCCACUGAAGAACAUAAAAAGACGGUAAGCUCAUCCUCAUCUCUCUCUCUCUCUUUGUAUCAGAUACAUUUUUCAUUGUCUUAACUAUUUUGAGUUUCUCUCAACAGGAGAAGAAGACUAUUAGGAAUUUUAGUGUGCCAGACUUCUCACCUUUCAUAACGGCAAAGGCAAGUUUUAACUAAUACUUGGUUUUUAUUUAUGGUAUAUACCCCAAACGUGCAUGAAACUUGUUGGUCUAUUGAUGUUUUAGAUGAACGACCAAGCGGCGCCUGAGUACGUGAAUUCUAAAACGGCUGUGUGGUGGGACAUGGACACAUGUCCAGUUCCCGAUGGUUAUGAUGCUCGCAGGGUGCGUCCAAGUAUAGAAGGGGCCUUGAAGGAUUUGGGAUACUGUGGUCCUAUAACCAUCACUGCCAUGGGAAACCUGGAAAAUGCACAUCCUCACGUCCUGCAGGGGCUCUCUUCCACUCGAAUCCUUGUUCAACACACCAGUUUGUUAUUAAUCCUCCAGAAUUUAUUUUUUACUUUUUUUUUAAAACUUAAAAGAGUUUGGUUUCUUCAACUCUCCUUUGCCUUUAUUCGUACAGGAAGGGUAGGCGCAUAUAUAUUUAGUAAUUUGACGCAUUUCAAAGCGCAUAAUCCGCCACCAGCUACAAUAAUGCUCAUAUCUGAUAGAGUGGAACACUUGUCUCUCUGCCUUUCUCUGGCUCAACAAAGCCGUUACUACAACCUUGUUCUGGCACGUACAUAUACUCCUGAGAGUAUGUCACGUCUGUACCAUACUGCAGAGUGGCUCUGGCAAACCCUACUGGCGAGGUCUCAGGAGACAACAAGUUAUGUUCUUCGCACGUGCACUGCUUCGGGUGACUCUGCCUCGUCGUUUUUUUGCAAGUCAUGCGACUUCACUGGCCUAAGCGUGACAGAUUUCACCAGCCAUCUCUCCUCUGAAGAACAUAAACAAAAGGUAAGUUCAUCCCUCAUCUCCCUCUUGCUUGCUUGUAUCAGUUUGCAAUUUUUCAUUGUCUAACUAUUUGAGAGUUUCUCAACAGGAGAUUUUUAUUUCCAAGUCUAGUCUGCCAAACCCCCACGACAGUGACGAGGACAGUGACGAGGACAGUGACGAGGAAUCAAUGGCUAAGGCAAGUUUUAAUUGAUGGUUUUCACUGUCCAAAAUACUCAUUUCUUCAAAACACAUGUCGCAGAUUCCAAAGCGAAAACGCUCGAGGAAAGUAUUUCGGACGACUCAGGUACUUCUUUUUAAUAGGCGUCCCACCCGACGUGGCCGCCCAUGAUAAGAUCGUUUUUUAUUUUAUUUAUUUACCGUUUCUGUCUUUUGUGUUCCGAGGGAUGAUCGAGGACUCAGUUUGAACUAAUUUUUAUUUGGUUUGUAAUGGAUAAUUUAUGUAUUUCAAAAAUUUCUGUUUGAUAAAUUACACCUCGACUAUACUUUUCUUGUAUUGAGUUUGUCUCCUCCUAAUUAUACAAACUGUUCAACAGUGGUCUGGUUCCUUCAAAGAAGGAUUUUGCGUGGGGAACUUUUGUGCCGACGAUAGUAUUGUAUCCUUCGUUUUCCUUCCCGCUAAAGACGUGACAACAAAAACAAAAUUUAAAAUUGAUAGCUUGACGUACAUCACAUAGUUUACAAAUCAAAUGGUGGUGAUGUCUUUGGUACUGACAUCCUACGUCCAUUUGUUUUUGUGUCGUUGCUUGUAAAGCUGACUUCUAAGUCCUUAAUUCCAUCGCUCACAUUGGACGGAUCCUUUAUUAAGAAAGGUUUAAUCAGUUAAUUACACUAUUAUCUUCAUGACCAAAUUAAUCACACAUUAUUGUGUCGAUUAUAUGUCUGAUAGAUUUUUUAAAUGUAAUAAUUAUUUUAUUAUCUGCAUCCACACAUGGACACCCUUAUUAUUAAAAAAAAUGAAUUCAAUAACUAUAAGUAGUACUUUACAUUAUUAUUGGUCUAUAAGAUUGUAACUGUAGUUUUGACUUAUUUUUGAAACGUUUCAUUCAGGUGCAUGAGUACUACAAAUAGAGCAUCCCCUUAAGUGAAAAAAGUGUGAGAAAUAGAUCGAGGAACGAUACAAAGCGAUGAUGACGAGGAGGGUGAUGCUCAGAUAAAUACUAGUGGUAUGUUAUUCAUUUAUAGAAUUGUGAUUUUCUCGCUGGACUUGGGAAUAAUGAAUAUAGAAUUGCUGGCAAACAAAAAUGAAUAUAGAAUUGCUGGCAAACAAAAAUGAAUAUAUAACUAGAAUUUAACUCGCGGUACACCGCGGGGCUAUAGUUUUUUUUAAAAAAUGUAAUGUUAUUUUUUUAAAGAUUAACUGAAGAUAUAUCAUAUUAAUUUGUAUUUUUAAAUGUAGAUAUCCAUCUAUCAAUUUUUGAAGUAUAGAUACGAAAACAUACAUUUUUUUUUAAGUAACGAUGUAUGGUGGAUUUUAAAAUUUUGAAUAUUUUACUCUAAAGUAUACCGUGGGUCGGUUUUUUUAUAACUAAAAAUUUUAAAUUUAAGUUGGAUUUGUUUUGUUAAUAUUGUUUAUUUUGUUUUGUGUUUAAGAUUGUAUAAUUGUAUUUUGAUUGUUAAUUUUAGGAUUUCAUCCGUGAUAUACCGUUAUUUAUUAAUAUCGACCCAAACCCGUCAUCCCAUAUAAACCCGUCUAUAUUAUCUCGUUAGCUAAAUUAUUAGUGUUAUAAAAUCCAAGAAAAUAAAUUAUUAUUGUUAUAAAAUCUAAUAAUUUUAGGAUCUCACCCGUGGUAUACCGUUCUUUGAACGAUUUUAAAUUUAUACUACUAAUAUAUAUUUUAAAUUUAUCAUAUAAAGUAUAUGAUUUCAAGUUUUUGUGUUUUUUUUUUAAUUUAAAUAAAACAACGGCUUAAAUGAUGAUAUAUAUAGUUUUUUUUUUCUGUAUGUGUAUAUGAUUUUUCUAUGUGAAUAUUUUGAUUAUUAUAAAUUAGUAUUUUUAUUGCUAUGUAAAAUGUUAAUAUAAAUAUUUGCUAUAAAAGUUUUUUGAAGAUAUAUGGAAAGAUGGUGUAGAGAUUUUUAGAAACAAAUUAGGCAAGAUAUUGUUUGGUUAAUAUCUUUUAUUUAAAUUUUGUAAAAGUAAUAAUAAAUGUCAAUGGCAUGGACUCGUAAAUAAGGUGGAACUCCAGGAUUUAUUUGCUAAGUGUACUCUAAAAAUGUAUAUAUAGAUUAUUGGAUUAGCUUGUUAUUUUUUCUUUUUCUUUUAUAUAUAUCAAUCAUUGUUAAAUUUGAGAUUUUUAUUCUAUAAACGUGUCUUCAGUAUACUUGUAUUUUGUUUAUUUAUAUAUACAUAUAUACAAUACAUAUAAGAAUCAUAAUACCAUUUUUAAAAAUACAACGAAGCUUAUUAAAUAUGAUGUGAUCAAUCCUAAGAAAAUUUGGUGUCAGAUUUUUUUAUUUGUAGGAAUUGUGUACACCAGAUCUUUUAAUAAAGGAAGAAAAUAUAUUUUUCAAAACCAAAAGUGAAUGUAGUAUAUUGGAGUAUGUUGGUUUCUAUAUGUAUCUAUGUUUAAAUCAACUUAAUUGUCAUUUCUUUUUCCUUUGUAUGUGUCUUUAAAUAACUUGAUGUUAUUUUAAAAUAAAUAUUAUAUACUGUAGAAGGUCGACUAGGUGAAACGAGAUGAAUCCGUGACGAUUAACAUAUCAGUUAUAGUAUUAUAACUAGGAUAUGACCCGCGGUACACCGCGGGUUAAUUAUUUGAUUUUUUUUUAAUUCUUUUUAUAAACUAAUGAAUUUGCUGUGUAUAAUAUUUUCUGUUGUAUACCGCGGAUCAUAUGCGUUGUAUCUAAAACAUAAAAAAAUUUAAGUUGUAUUUAUUUUGUUUAGUGUUUAAGAUUGUAUAAUUGUAUUUUGAUAUGUUAAUUCUAGGAUUUCACCCGUGGUAUAUUGUCCCAUAUUAAUAUCGACCCAAACCCAUCCCACCAUAUAAUUCCGUCCUGUGAAAUUAAACAUCAUUUUGUAAUUUUUUUAAUAACACUUUUAUUUAAAAGACAUAUAAUUCGAAUCAAUUUAAAAGUUUGCUUUCAAAUGGUUUUCAUAAUAUAUAUAAAUAUAUAUAUAUAUAUAUAUAUAUUUUAAAUUAAGUGUUUUUGGACCAACCCGUAAAAAUAAUUUACAAUUGUAUUUUGAUUUGUUAAUUUUAGGAUUUCACCCGUGGUAUAUUCUCCCAUUUUAGAUAAUUGUAGAAAUUAAGAAAAGAUCCGAAUGACUCAAUUUCGGGUCAGAAUAAAAAAAAAACCGACCUGAUUAAUUGCGCAAUUUGUUUUUCAAAAUGUUAAUAUAAAUUGCACACAUACUUUUUUUCUUCAUCAACUGAGUAAUAUAUGUCUGUUUAAAAAUAAUUUGAAUUAUAACAUAUGCAGAAAAAACCAAAAUUUACUAUAUGUAUAUAUUAUAAUAAUUCAAAAUAAUUUAAAUAUAACAUCAAAUAAAAGUGAAAUGAGAAUCAUAUAUUUAUGUUUAAACUAAUUAGAGAGAUUUUAGGAAAUUCGCUCAAAUUUUGUUAUAUUAGCAUUAAAUCAUCAUAUUUGAUUUCCUUAUCUAUAAAAAUCGUAAAGAAUAUACCAUAAAUUAAGAGUUUGGAUAUAAUAAUUAGUUGAGAAAUAUAUAUAUAUUUUAGAUUUUAUUAAUUAAUUUCGUUUUUGAAUUUUGCCAAAAUUUAAGGAAAUAUCCGAUUGAAGAUUUCCGGAUCAAAAUCAGAAAAAAAAUCCGACCCGAUGAGAGAGCAAAAAUGUAAUUCAAAAAUGUUAAGUAGAUAUAUAUUUAGUAAUAACUACAUAUAUAUAUACGAAAUCAAUCAUUUAAAUUGCUAGGAUUUUUUUUGGAAAGUCUCAUUAUUUGUAUCCAAAAGACUUAAUUGAGGGUCAAAAUUAAAAAAAAAAACAAAACUGACCCAAAAAAAAGAGCAAAUAUGUACUUUAGAUUGUACAUAUAUUUUUUUCUUUAUUGAUUGAGUAAUAUAUGUCCGUUUUAAAAAAUUUGAAACAUAGCAUAUGUAGAAAAAAAUCUAAAAUUUUAUUAACUAUAUAUAUUUUAUAAUAAUUUAAAAUAAUAUAAAUAUAAAUCAAAUAAAAGUGAAAUGAGAAUCAUAUAUUUUUGUUUAAAUUAGGUAGAGUAGUUUUAGGAAAUUAGCUCAAAUUUGUUAUAUUAGCAUUAAAUCAUCAUAUUUGGUUUCCUUAUAUAUAAAUAUCAGAAAGAAUAUGCCAUAAAUAAAGGGUUUGGGUGUAGUAAUUAGUUGAGAAAAUAUAUAUUUUUAGAAUUUAUUAAUUAAUUUUGUUUUUGAAUUUUGCCAAAAAAUAAGGAAAGAUCCGAUUUAAGAUUUCCGGGUCAAAAUCACAAAAAAUCCGACCCGAUUGGAAAGAGCAAAUUUGUACUUCAAAAAUGUUAAGUAGAUUAUUAAACUCUAUGGUAAACUUUGCAGAAUAUACACAAUAUUAUGAAAUAAUACAGUAAGAGUUCUUUUUCGUGAACUUAAAAUUAUCACGUUAUUUUAGAUUCCAUAGAUCUAAAUUUUAGUUUUAUUGGAUUCUAAAAAUCUUCUUAAUGAUUUUUCGUACUAUCUCAUAUUUUCAUGUUCUUCUAUAAUUUUACUUUUCUCUUUUUGUUUACAUUAAAAUACGAUUUUAAGACUUGGUCUGCUGAACUUUAAAAAAAACUUUGCUGAAGUUUCUGAUAACAAAACCUUCCAAAACAUACGUUAGGAACAUAACUAGAAACGAAGAUAUUCUAGACAAAAUGCGGAGAGAAACUUCCUGGUCUUUAAGUCAUUGACUAGUGAUUUUUCAAGUUGACUAUGACAUAAAUAUUGUUUUUAAGUGUUCGUAAAGCCGCCGUAUAAUAACCGGUAAUACCUGAAAAGCGUGAAGCAUAGAAAAAUCUGAAAUAGUUGUGAAUCUUUCAUAAUUUUUCAUUGUUUUGAUUUGUAACUAAUAGGACCAAAAUGGAGUCGAAUACUUUAGAAUUGUGGCUAUUGUUUUCUAGAAGUCAUCAUUAAUAAAAUAAAGUUAAGUCCACGCCAUGCCCAUCCCCUCCCGCCGAAGAUAAUGAACCAAGACUCGGUAAGACAAACAUAAACGAGAACCGACCGAUUUUUAACCAUGUGAUCACAUGCCUCGCCUAUUAGCCGAACGUAUCUCAAGGUGCUAUUUUAUAGUUUGAUUUCAUUGUACAUUUGAUAUAUAAAACUGAAAAGUAAACAACCGAAUCCAUCUAAUAGUAUUCUAUUUCGUGUUGAUUGAAAUCUUCAACGUUUUCUCGUCUAAUGCUACCAAGCAAAUACAGGAAGAAAUAAAUGUGUGAUUGCUUUUUUUUCUUAUCAAACUUCCUUUUGUUUUGUCGUCUUAUCAAAUUAUGUUAAACGGUGCAUAUGGUUAUGCUUGUCAAAUUACAUUGCCAAAUUAGUUUUACGCAAAUAUACCAUAGAAACUCUCGUUAGACGUAUCUAUGCGUGAGUGUGUAUAUUAGUCAAUUCAUGGUAAUGGGAAUGUACAUAUAUAUAUAUAUGUGUGUUCAGCCAAACAUAUUUCGAGAUUUCGCAUAUAAAGAUAUUUUCUGCUUAACUUAGAUUAAAGUAAUUAUUCAUUUAUUCUUGCAUGGAAUACAUACGUAGCAAACUGAAUCACACACUACAGCUCACAACCUCACACUCCGAAGAUGAGAAUAACCGAACAAUAGUAAAUUGAUGUAAAACUGAACAAUAGUAAACUCAUGCAUGUAAUAUGUUCUAGAUUGUUUGUUUCUUGUGUGGCAACAACGGUCAGAUUCAGUUUUCAAUAAUAUAUGAUGAUUCACUAUGCUUAGCAUGAAGUUGAAAACUACUUAUGUCACACCAACCAAAUAAAUUUAAAAUUUCAUUAAUAAAAAGUAGGAACCAAACAAUAAAGAAAUAGGAAGCGAAAGUCAAGAGUAAAGGCCUACAGAAACUGACCGGAAGUGAAGAAGCAUCUAUCCAAAGUCAAGGCAUCUUAAUUCACCAAAGACAUGCACUCUCCUACUCUGCCUCCAAAGUCUCUUCCUCCUUUCCUAUAGACAAAACUCAUCGUCCAUGUCUCUUACAAUAGCUUUGUACACAAGUGGUUGCUCGAUGAAAUGAGUGAAAUUGCUUACUGAGGAUCGGGGGCUUUAGUUUAGUUGAUCCAUAACAUAAGAUAAUUGGACACGAUAUGUUUAUACAGACUUGUAAGUGUUUCUCUAUAUAUUGAUCUUCUGGCAUGCAGUUCUUGCUGCGUCUGUAGGUUCGUACAACGACGGAACCAAUACCAUGUUAAAUUAAGGAGAACACACCACUCACAACGAAGAUCGAACAUAUGACCUCUUAAAUCUCUACUGUACCUUGCAACCCAUACUUACAUCCAUUGUUACGCUAAAAUUGAUUAUGUGAAGCAUCAAGAGUCAAUCAAUAUACGAACUAGCACGCGCGAUCUUAUAUUGGCCCCUACAAACCUGCAACAUUAUAUUCUCGAAUCAUCAAUACGUACACUCAUUUGGUUGUGAUUUGUCAUCCGCUUUGAAUCAAGUUUUCAAGACAACCAGUAAGAAAGUAAAAUAAAUCAAAAUUCAGAGUUAAAAAUAUUAGUCAACCAAUGAUUAGUCAAUUUUACCCAAAAAAAAAUAAUCAACUAUUAUAUUGACAAGAUUAUAUUAACAUAUAGUCAAGAGUAUGACUACCACUUAAUAAAUUAAAUUAUUUAUUUUACUAUAUUUUUAAUUAAAUGUUUUAUCUAAGCAAUAAGCAUUUUGAAAAAGACAUUAAUUACAAUGCAACAAAAGGAAUAUAUCGAAAACCGACAAGUGUGUGAAAAUAUUAGGGAUAUGAAGUGUUGUAAUGAAAAUAGGGAUAAUAAGUUUUAAAGGGUUUUUUGGCUAAUUUAAUUGAUUAUAAGUAAAUAUCUUAAAAUUUUAGGAUUUUACUUAAUACGAAAUUGGACUAUGAUUCAAUCACUAUACCAAAAUUUUUAAUUAAAUAAGAUUAUAAAUAUAUUAAAAAAUCAUUCUUUUAAAUUAUUAGUUAAUUAACGUUUCCAUGUUGGAGAGACAUUACCCCGUCGAUGGCAGUGACAUAGCAAGAGCCACAAUUGGACCCGAAGGAGUCGCCGCGACACUGUAAUAUGAUGGUGACGGAAGCAUCAUGCUUAUAUUUGCCUUCACUGACGAAGCAUUUGUGGUUGAGAUACUGAUUGGUAAGAUGAAACGCUACGUACAAGGAGGAGUUGGACGGCCAAGAUAGGGACAUAAACUAGGCGUUUGGAUAGAGAAUAUGAAGAGUACCACUACAAGAAAACAUAGCAAAUUCCGACAAACCAAAUAGUCGGAAAUUCGUCGGAAAUGGAUGUUUCCGACGAAUUUCCGACUACACCAAGUUUGUCGGAAUUCUCUGGUCGGAAAACAAUAUUCGUCGGAAAUUCGUCGGAAAUUUCUGUCGAGAUGAGUUGUCGGAAAAUUCGUCGGAAAUAUUUGUUGGAAAAUCGUCGGAAAUAUUCGUCGAAAGCCCGUCGGAAAGGUGUCGGAAAUGUCCGUCGGAAUAGCGACGGAAAAUUGCCGACGAUAUCCCGACGGCAUAUUCCGACGCCAUUCCGAGGAGAUUCCUACAAACGACGCCGCAAGAUCGAGUACGAUUCCGACGAUUUUCCGACCACAAAUCGUCGGAAGUUCGUCGGAACGUUCCGACGAAUUUCCGACAAAAUAUAAUAUAAUAAUAUAUUUAAUAUUUUCCGACGAAUUUCCGACAAAUCGUAUUUUUUUAUUAUUUUCCGAUGAAUUUCCGACGAAAUAUUAUAUUUUAUUAAAAAAAAAUAUUUAUAUUUUAUUGUUAAUUAAUAUAAUUAAUUAAAUUAAAUAAUAUUAAUUUAAUUUAAUUGUAAUAAUUCAAUAAAACAAACACAAAUAUUAUAUAAAAACAUAAUUAAAAAAAAUAAAAUUCACCACAUAAUAUAAAAAACAUAAUUAAACAUUAAUAAGUUCUUAAACAACUAAAAAUUAUUACAAACGCGAAUAUUAUAUAUUAUCAAAUAGAGUGUCAACGUUAUUUGUUUCAUUUUGAUUUCCGGGUUGAUCUUGGCGAGAAGGCGGAACGAUGUCGGGAUGAAGACGGGCCAUCAUAUCCAUCCAAAACUUACAAUCUUUUAAUUGACUCUUCAACUCGAUGAUUUCGGCUGCGUUUUCUUGACAAUUCACGUGUGCAUGUGAAUAUGACGAACUUCCGCCCAUGUCUUCGUCAAACGGAAUGGAACCGAAUCCAAAUCUACGUCCUUUUUUAACUUCAACUUGCUAUUAUAAUGAAAAUGUUGUUAGGAAAUAAAACAUAUUAUCUAAAUUAUACUAUUUUAAUUACUAUUACUUACCGAUCGGAAAAUAUUGUUUUUUUCUGCUUGGGUGAGUUGAUAAUCAGCAGGCGUGUCCGAAUGUUGACUCAAUUGUGUGAGUUUCUCUUUCUCCAUCUCCCGACAUCGACGAGCUAUUGCCUCAGCUUUUUUAUCAACAAAUGUCCCGUCCGAUUUCCGUUUGUGAGUCUCCUCCAUGAAUGUCACCAUAUCGGGAUACUCACCGGUUUCGGGAUUACGCUUGCAUUUAAAAUAUUUAUUAGUUAAAAAUUUACAAUAAAAUUUAUUAUAAUGCAAAUUGAAAUGUAAAAAAUUUAAAUUUUUAUUUACCAUUUUUUCCUUUUUCCGGACAUAUGGCAUUGAUCCACAAGUAUGUUUAGCCAUGCCAUAGCCUCCGCGUUCACUCUUGCGAUUUUGAGAAUUAGUUUCACUACGGGAUUUAUUUUGCUCUUGUAACCAAUAUGCAAUAAGCCCUUGCCAAACGUUUUCUCGCAUCCAUUUUGGCUUUUCUUUCCCGUUAAGCCAUUUCUUUUUCCAUCCAUAAACAUAAUCCAAUAAACGACUCCCACAUAUCUCCUCAAAUUUUUCUUGUACUUCGGCCGUAAGACCAUAAUCCCAAUAAAAUUUUUGCUACAAUAUUAAAAAAUUUAAAAUAUAUAUAUUUUUAGUGUUGUAAAAUUUUAAAAUUUAAUUUUUUUAGCUAAAAUUAUAAACAAAGUAAAUAAAGCAUAAAUUUUAUUUAAAUAAACUAACCGCAAAUGCCUUAAACCAACGUUUCUUUGUGUCUCCGGAGACCGACGUAAUAUUCGGAGCGGGAUCGGGGAAAUCGCUCUCCAUGAUUUUCUUGAUAAUCUUUGUGAAUCUUUUAUCGAAUCUAUACCUAUAAUUACCAAAUUAUUUAAUUGAGAUUAUCUACGUAAAACUAUAAAUUAAAUAAUACAAUUUCUUACCAAGUUGUUCCGUUCAUACGGCUUGGGUCGAUCUUUUUCAAUUUCUCUCGACCCGGAGCACGGAGUAAUUGGUCUAGCGUCAUAGAAUCGAGUGGAUUUGCAUCAUCAUUCCGUGUAGGCAUCGCCAAUGGUUCCGUCUCCGGAACUUCCGUGUCCUCCAUGGGAAAAUCAUCCGGUGGUUGGGUUUCGGAACCAAGAUUCAAAUCCGGAGCAAACCCACGUUCAUUACAAUACGCCAUAUAUCCACUCCACGAUCCAUUAUCCAUCUCCUUAAUCAAAUAAAAAAUUUAUAAUUAGUCUUUUGAAUUUUAUAAAAAAAAUUAUGAAGAAAAUAAAACUAAACAUCUUACCUUAACGUUUGUUUAUCACAGAGAAAUUUUAGAGAGAUUUUGUAGAGAGAGGUGAGAAGUGUGUAAGAGGUAAAAAUCUGUGAGUCGUAUAUAUAUAACAAUUUCCGACGACCAUAUUUGUCGGAAAUUCGUCGGAAACAAUGCAGCGAGAAUUCGCGAGAUUUAAUGUCCAAUUUCCGACAAAUAUGGUCGUCGGAAAUUCCGUCGGAGAUUGUGUAUUUGUCGGAAAUUCGUCGGAAACAAUGCAGCGGGAAUUCGCGAGAUUUAAUGUCCAAUUUCCGAUAAAUAUGGUCGUCGGAAAUUCCGUCGGAGAUUGGGUAUUAAAUUUAUUGCCGUUUACUUUUCCCGGGCGUCAGAGAAAUUAAUGUAACUAAUUCCGACGAAUUUUCCGACGAAAUUUAAAAAUUUGUCGGAACAUUCGUCGGAAAAUGUUCCCGCUUCAGUAUUUCUGAAAGAAAAGUAAAAAAAAUAAAUUAAUUCAAUAUAGCCUAAUUCCGACGAUUUUCCGUAGGAGAAAAUAAUGUCGUUGGAAAAUUCGUCGGAAACAGGGUAUAUUAAUUUAAAUAAUUUUAAUUAUUUUGUGUCAAGUAUUUCUUUAAUUAAAUAUACCCUGUUUUGUAUCAAGAUAUAUUUAAGCGGUACAAAUUUAAUCUCAAACGUUUCAUACGACAGUUCCGACGAAAGUAUGAAUAAAAUAAAAUAUUAGAAUGGUUUAAUUAUUAUAAAAUAGAAACAGAUUUUUUUUAACAAAUAAAUUAUAAUGCAUAUAAUAUGAUAAAUUUAAAAGCAUUUAAACAGAUUUUAUAAAAUAUAUAUAUAUAAAACUAAAGAAGAUAUAUUUGAUUUACUCAGAAUCGGAAGAAUAAUCUGAACUAGCAGAAUCAUUUUGAUCUUCAAACUCUUCUCCAUCCUCUUCGUCUUCCGCAUUUUCCCAUAUCUGUUCGACUUAUAUGUUCUCAAUAUCAACGAGGGGAAUGUCACCGACAGAUUGAUCUACUUGCGUAAUUUCGUUUACUGCAAUUUGUUGUAGCGGUUCCUUUUCUUUCACCCCAUCAACUCUGCUUCUUGGAUUUAUUUGAUGAGCCGUAAUCCAUGGAUAUUGUCGAACACCUACUUGUGGAUAUGGUAUGUAGCAAACCUGUGCUGCCUGAGAUGCAAGUAUAAACGGAUCGUACUUUCUUAACUGCUUAGUCGAGUUGAUCUCUGUGACACCAUACUUUGUAAGUCUAACACCUCUUCCAACUCUAGGAUCAUACCAGUCACACUUGAAGAGUAUACAUUUCAAAUUUAUGACUCCCGGAUAUUCAACCUCUAAUAUAUCAGUAAUUUCACCAUAGUAGUCUAUCGAAUCUGUACGAACAACGACCCCAUAAUUCACUGUUUUUCUGUUAGUAAUCCCUGGACGUUUUAUGAAAACGUAGCCUCGAGUCCAAUACAUCGGGUAUGCCAUUGCCCUUGAUAGAGGACCUCCAACCAACUCUUCAAACCAUGUUGGAUAGUGUUCCUGCCUACUUGCGGCUGAUUUGAUCUGCAAAACAUACAAGCAAAUGUACGAUUUUAAUAAAUAGUAACCAUGUUCAUAAUAUAUGUAAAAUCAACGGUGAAAACUUACAUAAUAUUUUAACCAAUUAGCAUAUUGUGUCUGCUUCAUUUCCUCUUUUCGAGCCUCUGUCAUGUUUGGAUACGCUCCAGACACUUGAUCAUCAAAGAUCCUACAGACAUUUGUUUUUUUGUAUAAGUAAUUAUUUUGCAAAUAAUAUAUGCGUAUUAUUAAGGUAUGAAUUUUGUUUCUUACUUCUCGAAUGGUAUGACAUCGUCACAGUUCCGGAGGAUGUAAGUAUGAAUGUGAUUAAAUUCUUGAUCUGUAAACCAUACUUCUCUUUUCUUCCCACUCAGUCUCCCGAUUUGAGAAAAGAUAUCUGGGACAGAUGUAUGGUAAAAAGGCCGCACACCCCCAUCAUCGUACCUACAUGGUUUUCUUGCUUUUGUUUGGACAUUUGGAGCAAAAUAGUAGGCCGAAAAAUGAGAAGUCUCCUCGUUUAUGCUUUGAGCUACUAUUGAUCCCUCAACUUUGCUAAGAUUUUUAACUUUUUUCUUCAAAUGGAACAUAAAACGCUCAAAAGGAUACAUCCACCGGUACUGAACUGGACCGCCUAGUGCUGCUUCACGAGGUAGAUGGAUAGGCAAGUGCUCCAUGACAUCAAAGAAUGAUGGGGGAAAUAAUUUCUCCAAAUUGCAAAUGAUAAUCGGGAUAUUAUCUUCAAGUGUAUGUAGUCCUUCGACUGUUAGAGAUCUUGAACACAAAUCUCUAAAAAAUGCACCUAUCCCUGCAAUUUAAUUAAUAACUGUAAACAAAAAAAGAAUAUAUACAUGAAUAAUAACAUAUUAAAAUAAUUGAAAGAUAAGUUGUUUGUACCUGCAAUUGCUUCAUGGACAACAUUUGGUAGGAGUUGUGUAAACGCAAAUGGUAGUAAACGCUGCAUGAAGACGUGACAGUCAUGACUUUUCAUCCCAGCUAAUCUACCACUGUGAUCAUCAACACAAUAUGAUAGAUUUGAUGCAUAGCCAUCAGGAAAUUUAACAUCAUCAAUUAUCCACUGAAAAAACUUGGUCUUCUUGCUUGCAUCUAAUCUCCAUAUAGGAAUAGGACCUACUCCGUCUGCAAGCAAAUGGAGAUCCUCGCGCGCACAUAUAUCGGAUAAAUCCAUUCUGGAUUUGACAUUAUCUUUAGUCUUACCCGCGACAUUUAAAAUGGUGUUAAUUAUAUUGUCAAAGAAAUUCUUCUCAAUAUGCAUAACGUCAAGACAGUGGCGGAGUAGAUGAUUUGUCCAGUACGGUAACUCCCAGAAGAUACUUUUUUUAUGCCAAUUAUGAUGUUCUCCAUAUCCAUCUAUUCGGACAUGGCCAUUACCGCCUACCGAUGCUGUACAGUCAACAUCAAAAUCACGAAAUUGAUUCAAUAUAUAAUCACCAUCAUACUCAGGUGCCGGUGGAUCACGGAUACUCUUGUUCUUGCGGAACAACGUCUUACUACGACGAUAUGGAUGAUUUCGUCUUAGAAAACGACGAUGACAAUCAAACCAACUUGAUUUCCGGCCAUGUCUUAGUUGGAAGGCAUCUGUAUUAUCUUGACAAUAUGGACAUGACAGUCUUCCAUGAGUUGUCCAACCCGAUAACAUGCCAUAUGCGGGAAAGUCACUAAUAGUCCACAUCAAUACAACACGCAUGUUAAAAUUUGUCUUUGUGGAGACAUCAUAUACCCAAACCCCUUGGUACCAUAACAUUUUUAACUCUUCUAUAAGCGGCUGUAGGAACACAUCAAGUGAACGACGAGGGUGGUUUGGACCAGGAAUCAAAAUGGUUAAGAAAAGAAAUUCUCUUUUCAUGCAAAGGGAAGGUGGGAGAUUGUAAGGGGUGACUAUUACUGGCCACAAAGAAUAUUUUCUACCUGACUUUCCAAAUGGAUUGAAUCCAUCCGUGCAUAAACCAAGAUAGACAUUCCUUGGUUCAUUAGCAAAGACUGGAUAUGUAGAACAAAAAUGUUUCCAGGCCGCUGCAUCCGAUGGAUGUGAAAUCUCCCCGGUGAAUUCAUGUUCAGCGUGCCAUCGCAUACCCUCCGCUGUCCGAUCUGACUGAUACAACCUCUUCAACCUAUCAGCCACGGGCAAAUACCACAUACGCUUAUAUGGUAUUUUGUUUCGCCCACUAGUAACCUGAAACCUUUCAGCACCACAGAAACGACAUUGAGACAUAUUUACAUUAUCUCCCCAAAAAAUCAUACAAUUUUCUCUACACACGUCAAUCAUUUGGAAUGGUAAACCUAGCCCAGAUACCAAUUUUUGGAUUGCGUUGUAUGAAACUGGCGAUAAAUUAUCUUCUGGUAGAUAAUCGUGGAUAAAAUCAGCCCACGCAUCAACGCAAUCUUCACUUAAAUUGUAGUCUGUUUUGAUGUUCAUCAUACGUGUUGCGGCGGAUAAAGGAGAAUGACCCUCUCUGCAUCCUGCAUAUAUCGGAUGAUUUGCAGCAUCUAACAUAUCGAAAAAUCCCUGUGUUUCUAAGUUGGGUUCCUCCGCAACAUUAGUAUUUUCUACGUUAUCAUGAAAUUCACCACUACCAAUUCCAAUUACAUUAUCUUCUUCCUGGUGAAUAUGCUCAUCGCUAAUUAUAACGUUUUCAUCUCUUCUUUCACGACUACUACUAGGACCCGAUCUAAAAUCCUCCCCGUGAAAAAACCAUAUAUAAUAUCCUGGUGUAAAACCUCCCCAAUAUAAAUGAUUCCAAACAAUGUCUUUUGCAAGAAAAUGAUCAUUACAACAUUUGACACAAGGACAUGCCAUAAUACCUUCGAUACGCGUCAUUUCUUGAUUAGAUGCAAACUGCAUGAAUUCCAUUAAACCUUCCUUGUACUCCUGCCUCAUAGCUCCGGUCUCAUCAUCUAAUCGAUUAUACAUCCACUCUCUAAUUUUAUAAAUAUUAUGAGAAGACAUUUUUUUUUCCAAGAUUUUCUUGUGUUUCUGUUUUUUUUUUUUUCAACUUUUUUCUUGUGUCUAUGAUUCUUUCGUUGUCUAGUAUAUAUAUAAAACUUUUCCGACUAACAUUUUGUCGGAAAUUCGUCGGAAAUUCUAAAGUGGUUUACCUUUAAUAUUUCCGACGAACUUCUUACAAAAUUUUAGUCGGAAAGGUUUGUCGGAAAUUCGUCGGAAAUUCUAAAGUGGUUAAUCACGUGUUUACCUCGUUGUGUCCGACAAAUUUUCCGACAAGUUUCCGAGCAGUUUCCGAUGACAUUGGAUUGUCGGAAUUUUCCAUGGUUUCCGACAAAUAUUUCCGACGAAAUUCCGACGAAUUUUUAUCGUCGGAAAAGUUUUUAUGUUUCCGACGAAUUUCCGACGAAAUAUUAUUUUCUUGGAAGUUUGUCGGAAAUUCCCCGGAAAUCCGUCGGAAUAAUUCCGACAAAAUAUUUCGUCGGAAAUGUUCGUCGGAAAUUGCUAUGUUUUCUUGUAGUGUACAUUGUUUGGAUUUUGAUUUUUUUCUAGAGGUUGUGUGUUUUUUUUGAUAAAUGAAGCUUUGAGAUUGAGAUAUUUAUAUUGGAGACUCGGUAAUUGGUCUCAUUAGUAACUAGAUUAACUGUUUAUCUAAAAAAAAUAGUACCUUGUACAAAACUCGAAUGAUCAUUUUCAGUUUGUGGAAGACAUGUUUUGUUUUAGUAUGUAGAGAGAGAUGAGUUUUGUUUUUGUUUUUCGGCGAGAGAUUGGGAGGGCCGAUGAAAAAGUCAAAGAUCAUGCAUGUAAAACUCUUAGGAAAUAGAAUCACACGUACGGUACAAACCUUGUUGUGACGACUAGUUUUAAGCAAGUAGCAAGUAGGAUUUGACCCUCGGGAUAAAUUGUAUGAUCAUCGACUUCGUCCUUUAAAAAGGCUAAUCUUUCUCCUAUUUUUAUUAUUAUUAUUUAAGGCUAAUAUAUAUUUCAUGGCAAUUAGCUAAUCUUCCAUGCAUUGUGAUUAGUGUAGUCGUCAUGGGCAGGGAAACCGUGCAUGGGCUUAAACGGUUAAUCAUGUGAAACUAAGCAUGUGGUAUGUCCAUAUAUUAAGAAAAUAAACAUGCUUCAAACAUAUGGGUAUUUAUUACAAUUACAAUUACUUUUAGUUUUUGACAUAUAAAAAUGGAUUUUAAAUUAUCAAGUUUUAUGAUUAACAAGUUUUCUAUAAUUGUAAACCAAUAGUAUUCAAUUCUUUUUUUGUAGUUUACAGUUAAUCAUCAUUAACUAAUAAAAAAAGCAUAGAAAACUUAAAAAAUAUACUUUUUUUUAAACAAAUAUUUUAAAAAGUUGGAUUAAUUAGGAACAUAGAAAGUGUUUCUAAUAAAGAAGAAACCAAAAAAAUGAAGAGAGAGUGAAAAUAUUGUUUCGAAACAUACUAAUUCUGUUUGGAUUAAUUAGGAAUAUAGGUUUUGGUAUCUUAACUCGUAUAAUAUCGGCAUAUUUUACCUUUUGGUGAGAGUUUCCGGUAAGCUUCGGUCCUUUUUUAUUGGGCUCUCAUGCCCGGCUAGACGAGUUUCAAUUUUAUUUUUAAUCCCUGAUCUAGAAGUAACCAAACUAUUAAAUGUAUGUUUGUGCGCGUACAUUUAAUUUCAUAUACUCUUUACUAGCUCUUUAAGACAGAACUAUUACAGUAAAACCUCUAUAAAUUAAUACUCUAUAAAUUAAUAACCUCUCUAAAUUAAUAACCUCUCUAAAUUAAUAAAUUCUUCCGGUCCCGAGUUGGGACCAGUGUAAAAUAUGACAUAAAUCGAUAAAUUAAUAAGAUAAUAAUUUUUUUAAAAAUCUCAUAUAAACAUAUGGUCCAAUUGAUAUCAUAAAUUAAUAAUUGUAUAAACUUAUCAAUAUAUAUAUAUAUAGAGAAAUUGUUAAAAAUGCCCCUUUUUCAAUACCCCUUUUCAAAAAUGCCCCUUUUGAGAGUCCAUUUUUAAGUUUGCCCUCUUUUAAUUUUUAAUGACCAUUUUACCCUUAUUUGAAACAAAAUUAGGUCCACAAAAUACAAAAUAUUUUUUGGCGGGAAAAGUGAUCCCGCAAUUUUCCCGCCAAAACACUUGUAAAACCUUUAAAAUACCUUGUAAAAUUUUCCCGUAAAAAUUUUUCCCGCCAAAAAAAUUUCCCGCCAAAAAUUUUUUUUUGCGGGAAAAGUGAUUCCGCAAUUUUUUUGCCGAAAUUUUUUUGGCGGGAAAAAUUUACAAGGUAUUUUAAAGGUUUUACGGAGUAUUUACAAGUGUUUUGUAAGGUUUUACAAUAUAUUUUAAAAGGUUUUACAAGGUACUUAUAAGGUUUUAUAAGGUAUUUAUAACUUGUAAAACCUUAUAAAAAACUUGUAAAACCUUAUAACUUGUAAAACCUUAUAAAAUAGCUUGUAAAAUCUUAUAAUAUCUUAUAAAUACUUUAUAAAUACGUUGUAAAACCUUUUAAAAUACAUUGUAAAACCUUAUAAAUACCCUGUAAAAACCCUUUAAAAUACCUUGUAAAUUUUUCCCGCCAAAAAUUUAACGCCAAAAAAUUUGCGGAAUCACUUUUCCCGCAAAAAAAAUUUUUUGGCUGGAAAAAAUUUUACGGGAAAAUUUUACAAGGUAUUUAAAAGGUUUUACAAAUUUUUACAAGUGUUUUGGCGGGAAAAAUUGGGGGAUCACUUUUCCCGCCAAAAAAUAUUUUGUAUUUUGUGGACCUAAUUUUGUUAUAUUUCCUUAUAUAUUUAUGAUAUCUUUUAUUAAAAGAAGGGUAAUUUAGUCAUUUUAUACAUAAAAGGGGUAUUUUUAAAAAUGGACAUCCAAAGGGGGCAUUUUUGAAAAGGGGUAUUGAAAAAGGGGCAUUUUUGUGAGUCUCCCUAUAUAUGAUAUAAAUUUAUAUAUGUCAUAUUUGAAUUACUAUGAUAUAUAUUUAAAAUAUUCUAUGUCAAAAAUUUAAUAAAAUAUGACUCUAUUAUUCGAAAAAAGUUUGUGUUGUUUUUUAAACUUAAUAAUUGCUUCUCUAUUUGUAAUUAGUUUUUAAAAAAUAUUACUUAUAAAGAAAAAAAAUUAUUUUAAAUAGAAAUGUUUUUAAGAAAUUAUAAAAUUAGUAAAAUCUCUCUAUAAAUUAAUAAUUAUUAAUUUAUCGAUAAAUUAAUACCUCUCUAAAUUAAUAAAAUUUGCUAGUCCCGACAUUAUUAAUUUAUAGAGGUUUUACUGUAUAUCAUUUAUAAAUAGUUUUCCAAUUCUAAUUUAUAUCCCCUCUCUUUCACAAAUAGUGUCAUCCUACUAUUUCCACACAAAUUAAAAAAAAUAUAUAAAUUUCUCUUUUACUCUUUGUUAAUACAUUUAAUUAGUUUUUCUCUAUAAUUUAUAUGUUGAAAAGCAGAGAGAAAACUAAAAUUUUAUUUAAAAAUAUGCAUUGAAAACAUCAAAAAACACUCUUUAUGAAUUAAAAAAUAAAACCUUAACACGACACUUUGGAAGUAGUAAAAGAUAUACUCCCUCUGUUUCAAUUUAUUUGUAGAUUAACCAAAAAUUUGUUGUUACAAAAUAAAUGUUGUUGUGAAGUUUUUAUGCAAAAUUAAAUCUAUUUAAUAAUUUUUGCCCAAUUAUAUUUUACAGCAUAUUGUAUUAUUGGUUGAAUUAGUUGUAAUUAAUGAUGAUUUUAUGUAAAAGAGAAAUUAAAUUAAAUUUUUGUGAUUUUUAAAUCUGUGUGCAAAAACUUUAAAAGUACAAAGAAAUUGAAACCGAGGAAAUACUAAUUAUGUCUUAAAGAGCCGGUAAAGAGUAUAUGAAAUUAAAAGUAAGAGCACAAACAUACAUCAUACUCACCAACAUUUUGUUUCCUGACUUUAAUUUUUCAUUUUCAGUAAUGGUAUUUAUUGGCCAAGUAUUUAAGGUCAUACUGAUUUCUGUUUUUAUAUCAACUAAUUCAUGACGUAAGUGAUAUUUGAAGAAUUUGUAUCCUCACAAGUCCAAUCAAUCUAUUUUCCAUGAAAUAUACAAUUGGAAAAUUCAACGCCAUUUCAUAGUCACGAAUGGCUCAGUUUCCGCCGGGACCUAGUCUUUCCCCACACAUCAGAGUCAUCUCUGUAGAGAACUUUGUGAUGAAUCAUAUUAAUUUUUUUUUAUCUAUUUAAGCAAUUCAAAUAUAAAGUGAAUGAUAUACUCAUAUACAAAUUGGCUAAAACGUAAAUGCUUUUUUAUUUUUUAACUUGCCAAUAACCAUCAGCCGUUUUGUCAGAUUUACUUACGUUUUCGUAGACUAAACUAUAUAACUGGAGCAACUAACAUAAAAUAUAUAGAAAGUGUACUAUGUAAACAAACCUCAAUAAAACCCAUAUACACAUACGUUUCUUCUAAAAAACUCUAAGAAAAGCAUUCUGAAUCAAAUCUCCACUGAUUUUUCUUGGACUUUGUACAAAGUGUGUUAACGAGUCGUUUAGCUUGAUCACUAUUCUUUUUCGAUCAUUAGUCAUCCCACCGUAACAAGAAAAUCAAACACCUCCAGAUGAUAUAAGCACGCGUUCUCUGCUCCUUACACCAAUCCCAACACCGGAGUUUCGAUAUCCGACCUGACCCAACUCGUUUAUGCGAGAUCUUCAUCUUCUUUCACCACCUCUAUGUGUUGUUUGUAAGUAGUUUUGGAGUGGUGAGAAGUACAGAAAGUUGUGGAAUAUAUAGAGAGGCUAAAGUUGCAAUUAAAUUUACUUAGAUUGAGAGAGAGGUGACAUGAACAAAAAGAGUGGAAUCCCACUCUACAGAACAUGACAAGACAAAGCUGAGUUUACUUGUUUUGCCUCUCUUGUCUAUUUCCUUCACUCGCUUUGCUUCCACCUAUCACUCUCACGUAUCACAUUUUCUAUACAAAAAAAGAAGAAAAACAAACUAAUGCUCGAGAAAUUGCACAGUUACGUGUUUGUACAUAUGUAUCAUUUCUAUUCGUAGUGCUCAAAUAUAGAGCAUGUUACUUCAUGAAUAUUUUUGUACGAUUUUGCCCGAUUUGACAAUUCUAAGUUGGAGACUUUUUCUGAAGAUGUAUUUUCUUUUUCGACCCCAACAAAACAGAAAAGUAGAUAUGAUUACAUUUGUAACUAUAAACAUUUGUGACUUUAGGAUAAAGUUUGAGUGGAGGGAUCGAGGCUCAAACACACAAUCUCUUAUAAACUCAAAUUCUCAUAAUUGAAAGUAAAAACUCGAGUUUAAUUCUCAACAAAUUUUACCGUAACUUUCAAUAGAUUUUAGGGUUCUUUAUUUUAAGAGGGCAGUCAGAUAUAUAGGCUUUUUUGUUUAUGAUUUUGAAUAUAUCAUUCCAGCUAAAUCAUUUUACGUUGGAUUUGGUCAAAAUUUUAGCAGUUCAAAAACUUUUCUGACCAGAGUCGCAAGAUAUUUUAGAUAAUAAUUGAAGUUCGAGACUAAACCGAGUUGGACUGUCCCAAUUAACACCCCUAGAUAAUCAACAUAUCUCAAUUAAUUGUCGGGUCUUUGGAUCAUGCGUUUGUUUAAUCACUUUCACAAAUAAAGAUGUGUAGGACAUAGAAAGAACUUAAACUAAACAGUUGUGUCUUUGUUCCUUCUACUUCAUUUGGUUGAUGUUUCAUAAUGCGACGCAUAAACUAAUAUAAUAAUAUAUGGAUAUGUAAUCCUCAUGCAGCUGUUACCCAUUGGUGCUACUGGUCGGGUUAUCAAGUACCAUUAUUUAAUUUUUAUUAUAACAUAUUAUUAACUUUUUUUUGCCUUUGAAUUGAACUAAUAUAUAUAUAUAUAUAUAGGUGUAAAAUUAAUAAAGUAGUAUAUUAUUUUCAUAAUCUUUAAAAAUGUUUACUUAUCCACAAUAAAGUGAUAUACCUCGCUCUUGAAUCCAAUAAUUGUAGUCAUUCAACAAGGUUAUAAGUGCAUCCGUAUACUCUAUCAAUCAAUCACUCACACUCGUACAUGUCACGUUUAAAUGUGUCGAACCCAAACUAUAGGCACACAAAUACUACAUACAUAAUUAAUAAAUAUACGUAGACUUUUUAGGGUAAGUUUAGACUUUAGAGGGUAAUAGACCAUGAGAUCUUAAAGAUAUUAUGUCGUUGAAGUUUGCAAAGAAACAAUAUUACAUUUGUAUAAUUCAAGCUUAAGAGAUUUUGUACAAGUCCAAAUCCAAUGAUUACACAGUACACUAUUCUCCAAUCUUUAAAAAAUGGCGAAGAUUGGUAAAAAAAACUGAGUAAACAAAAAAAGUAAGAUCAAAAUUAACAAGGUCCAAAAAAAGAAAAAAAUCAAGAGUUAUCAUCGGAAGAAAGAAGCAUAGUGAUGCAAAUUCUGAUGAUAUGAAGCUUUGCUCUCUGUUGUCUCACUGUCCUCCUCAUCUUCUCCAGCCUCUCUUUCAUCUUUUCCAUCAACUGACUCAUCAAUUUUCCAGAUAUGUUGGAUACCAACAUGGCAACAGAUAGUUAUACACACGCAUACAUUUAUAUACAUGCAAAUACCUGCACGUACGAACAAAGGAAGAAGCGACAAUCCCACACCUAUACACUUGAGUUCAACCUCCAACACUAUAUACAAAGUGUCCAAACACCAUGAAACUCUGUCGGAAUCCUACGUGCUCAAGAUACUUGUUUUUGUGUGUGACUUUAGUUUUAUUUAUGAUUUACACCAUACAGUUUUGUGUUUGUGGGUGGAUGUACAACUAUACAUACAAAAAGCUAGCUAGGUAUUAAUUAAUCUUAUAUAUAAAAGAUGACCAAAUGUUUUGCAAUCUUUGACAUCAUCACUUCUUUAAAUUACAAUCAUAUAAUCUUUUCUUUCCUUUUUAAUUUUUUUUUGUUAAUAAAAAAGUUUAGGUCUCUUUAUACCGAAAUCUCAAUCGAUUUGAGACCAGCCUUUACUAGUACCAUUAGAGCGGAAACCAUUCCUCUCAAGUGAGUCUUGAACUUGGGAACAUAAUCUCAACUUUCCUCCAAAGGGAAUUCUUGAAACCAAGUGAACUAUCACCAUUUGUUGUUGUUGUUGUUCUUUUUUUCUUAAAAAAAAAAUCUUUUAAAUACUCGUAUGAUACAACUUAUUAAGUAUGUAUGUAUAUAUAUAUAUAUAUAUAUAUAUAUAUCUUUUAAUUAAAAAAUUAGAAACACAAGACUAAUUUUCCAAGCAUACUACUCGUUAGAUUCAAUUUCAAGUAUGCUUAGAGACAUUUUCAAACACCUAAUUAACAAAGCAUACGCGAUAUUAGCAUGUGACUCAAAUGCAUGUAAAAGAUAGGAACCCAUGAAUUUAGUUUUGAAACAAACUAAAAGAUAAUCUGCGUGGAUGGUUCAUCUUUUUUCUUUUGUCAACAACUCGAUUGAUAUAGUGUGUUAUAAUAAUAAUGUAUGAAAGUAAAAUGGAUUGGCGCAUGGAUGGAGAGGGUCCACUUGUAGGUUGGAGAGUGAAGCAAGUUCACGUGCUGAUCGUCAUGCAACUCUUUGAAUAUUUGCAUAAAUACACGUUGUUAAACUCAUCCUCCAUGUUCUCUCACUCUACUUUUUGUCCUCCUCCACUAACUUGUCAUUUCUUAACUUCUAUAAUUUUGGGUCGAUCAUCUCAAUUAAUUAACAUUAUCUAUUUUAUAUGUAAAUGUCUUCUUAUCAUCUUUUUUUCAUAUAAUGCUUAUGUCUACAAUCUAAGUACGUUACACCGUCAAGAUUGGUGAGUUAAAAGAAUAAUUCCAUUAUUCUGUGCUAUUCACAAUCCUAUAGACUGUAAUUUGUAAACUUGAGUUUUCUUAUUAAUUGCGCUAAAUAUAGGUAAAUAUGGUCAAGAAAAAUAAGAAAUCAAUAUUACCAAAAAUAAUAAGAAAAAAUAAAUUAAAUAAAUCAUACAAUGAUAACAAACAGACAAAAAACAAAACUAAAUAGUGAUAGUAAAAGACAACUACCUUUUCUGUUUAUGACUUAUCUUCAACAAUUAGCUUCAAUAUUGGUUGUAUUAACCCUACAAGCUGUCCGUUUCAUAUCUUGUACACAGCACAAAACAUAUAAUCUUCUUGUCUUCCAAAAUCUGUUUUUAAACAGCAAUGCCUCUCUAAUUAAUCAAUCUUCACCACAAGUAUAUUUGAUUAAUUAGAAGCAUGUAUUUUCGUUUCAAUUGGAGAUGUUGUAAUGGACUACAAGUAUGUGGUACCAAACAUGCAUAUACAAAUUUUUAACAUUAAAACCUAAGAAAAAAGAAGAUAUACUAAUUUUUAUAUAUGAAUCAUAUAAUAAUAUAUGAUGGAUCGUGUCUUGACCACGUUAGACCCCUAGUGGUAAAUCAGGACCUCUUUUAGAAUAAGACUAAUUAGCUUGCUCCUCGCCAUUAUAUGCGAUAAUCACAUUCGAACCAUAUGCAUUAUCCUCAGCCUAACUGGAUUUUUUAAAUUAUACUGAAAGGUUUCAUAUGAUUUGCAAAGUUUUGUUCACUUUGACUAUGUAAUAAUUAUCCUUAACUUAGCUUAUUGGUGUAUUACAGUCGCAUGCAUGAUUCUUAUGGUUCUAUGGAGAAAAACAAAUUCACAUAUUUGUUGUGUCCUAUGUCCUGAGUCAUUUGUUGUUUUUAAUUAAAGAGCUUUCUAAAUUGAAACCAAUAAUUCAGUCCAAUGUAUAAAUUGAAAAGACCCAAUCUAAAUAUAUAACUAAAAAUACUUAUUGACCACAUCAAACAGUACUUUGACAUUAUUAAACAGUACAAUUUAUACUCAUCAAACACAUAUAGUCAUUUACCAUUUAAAAAACAUCAACAGUAAUUUGACAUUUAAACAUUAGCUCAAAACGAAAACAAAAAAUGAAGAAAACAAAACAAAAUGCAAGAUUGUACAACAUAAGUCACUAUUAAUUACUCAUUUAAUACACUAAAUAUAAAAAGAGAAAUUAAUUUAUUAACCACAAUAUAGUCUCAUUCAAACAAUAUAAUGUAAAUAACUGACCUAAAGAGAAUUCUAUCACAUGCAUUCGAAAUGAAAUAACUACAAAAGAUGAAAGCAUAUAAGUUGAAUGAUGGGCAGCAAAAUGAACAAUGGAGAACAACCAAAUCGGGUGACCGGCAUUACAGGUUCGACCGGGGGUCUGGAUCAGGUCUGAAAACAUUGUGAGAUCAAGAUCAUGCGAUGUGGAACUAAUGAAUCAAAAAUUGAAUGGUAAUUAUAACAACUAUGGUGAGAUAUAACAGGUUUUAAUUUUUAAUCAUUCUAACACUUGCAAUGAACUGAUUUUUUUUGUUUCUCUAAUAGAAUUGCGAUACGUACUACUAUUGUUUUACAACAUUUCAAUCUAAAAAAUGAAAUAAAAACGCACAUAUGCCAUUCCUUGUUAAGUUUUGUUUUCGUAAAUCAAUACAAAAAAAGAAAAGAUGGUGGAAAUAAAAUAAAAAUAAAAUUGAGACUUAAGUCUAACAACUAUGGAGAUAUCAUUUGUGACGCAAGCAGCAGCAGUAUCGUCGUCAUCACUCACUAGCGCUUCUACCUUCUUCUUCAAUGGUCUUUUUCUUGCUUCGCGGAAUCCGAUCUCUCUUGCCCUGUUCCUUCCUGUAAUUAGUUCCUCCGCUCUCGUCGUCAAGAGCACUCUCAGGUUGGUUCUUGAUCCAUUUACAAGUUUCUUCUAUUCGCUUUAGCUUUUGGUUAAUCCUUGGAGGAUUGAUUUGAUUCUUAGUUUGACUCUGUGUCAAUGAUUGCUGUAACUUAAUUUUCCUAAUUUUAGUCCACUGCAGAGGAAAUAAGUGAAAAAAAUCACUUAAUUUUCCUAAUUUUAGUCCACUUGCGUUUAAGCGUUAGAUUGAGACUAAUUGUUUCUCUAUGGCUUUACUUGUUUGGAGAAAUGUUAUACAGAACUUUACACUAGUACAACCACCUUGCAUUGCAUGCAGAAGGAAGGGAAACAAAUCUUUAGUUAGGAUGACUGUAAGUGGAGAUAGCUCGGAAACUGUUUCAACCGAUAUGAUUUUCGAGCCGAUUUUGGAGCACGGAGUUUUCCGGUUUGACUCUUCUGUGGACCAUAGGAAGGCUGUAUUUCCUAGUGUUUCAUUUAAGAACAGCAAAGACCGGGAAGUUCCAAUUGUGAGUCACAGUGUUCCAGCAUAUAUUCCUACUAGUGUUUGUCUUCAGGACCAACAAGUUGUCACUUUUGAGGUUAGCGUUUCUUAUUCUUUCUCUUUUCUCAAAACUGAUCUUACAAUGUCAAUUUUGACAUGAUCUAGGUACAUACUACUAGUUUACAUAAUGCUAACUUGUGAUGUAGUUUUCUCCUGGCACAUCGUUUUAUGGAACGGGAGAAGUUAGUGGUCAGUUGGAGAGAACAGGGAAACGGGUGAGUCAUUCGCUUAAUAACCAUCAUCACUUCGUUAGCUUAAUUAAUUUGGUGAGUAUAAUGUUCAGGUUUUUACUUGGAACACUGAUGCUUGGGGAUAUGGCUCUGGAACCACUUCGUUAUACCAGUCACAUCCUUGGGUACUAGUUGUCCUUCCAACCGGAGAAACACUAGGGGUUCUUGCUGACACAACACGAAAGUGUGAGGUAUAUGAAUUUCCUAGCUGGUGCAAUCCCUCUUUUGUAGACCCACCGACGUUGCAAUGUAAUCUAUCUUUUCCGUUGUAUUAACAUAUUUUUCUUGUCUAGAUUGAUCUAAGGAAAGAGGGAAUCAUAAGAAUUAUCUCCCCAACAUCAUAUCCAAUAAUCACAUUUGGUCCAUUCUCCUCACCCACUGCUGUCUUGGAGUCCCUAUCGCACGCCAUUGGUAAUUGCUUAAUAAUGCUUCUUCUAUUUAUAACGUCUUAAUUGUGCUUCUUUGUGCCAUCGAAACAUUUCAUUUUCAUCUGUUAACUCUGCUGGAUGACUAAAAGUGAGAUGUUUCUUUGUAGAAAGGAUCUCUGUUUAUGCAAUUUGUAUGUCGACUAUUGUUUGCUCUUUACUUUUGCUCUCUCUAUCAUUUCUCCUUGGUAAAUAUUGUUCUGUUUUGUGAAUAAUUUGUACUUUCUACUUAUCAGGAACUGUUUUUAUGCCUCCAAAGUGGGCCUUAGGCUACCACCAAUGCCGUUGGAGUUAUAUGUCUGACAAGCGAGUAGCUGAGGUCAGUGUUUUUGUUCAUAUUUUGGCUUUGGUUAUUGAGUAAAGCUAAUGAAGGGAAUGACACUUUAUGUUCAGUUUUAAAAAUUUUGGGCUUCCCUGUCAUGCUUUUCAUCAUUGUGCUGAUGAUUGCAGAUCGCUCAAACAUUUCGUGACAAGAAAAUUCCUUCUGACGUGAUAUGGAUGGAUAUUGACUACAUGGAUGGUUUUCGUUGUUUCACAUUCGACAAGGCAUGUUUUUUUCUUUAAAGAUCAUUCCAAGUGGAUUUUAUUAACAGUGCUUACCAUGGUUUACAUAGACGCCUUAGAUGUUUUGUAUUGACAUUUUAAGAAUUUUUUUGACUACUCUGUUUAGGAGCGUUUCCCGGAUCCAAGUGCUUUGACGAAAGAUCUCCAUAGCAAUGGUUUCAAAGCGAUCUGGAUGCUUGACCCUGGAAUAAAGCAGGAGGAAGGUUAUUAUGUCUAUGAUAGUGGGAGUAAAAAUGAUGUUUGGAUUAGCCGAGCAGAUGGGAAGCCAUUUAUUGGUACUUGACUUCCAUAUCACGAUUUUUAUGCUAUUAUCUUAUCAUGUUAAUUUGAUAUUUAUACAUAGAUUGCUGAAAUUUUAUGUUCGGUUUCAAUAGGUGAAGUAUGGCCUGGGCCUUGCGUUUUCCCUGACUAUACAAAUUCCAAAGCACGCUCUUGGUGGGCUAAUUUGGUUAAGGAGUUUGUUUCAAAUGGUGUUGAUGGUAUAUGGAAUGAUAUGAAUGAGCCAGCUGUUUUCAAAGUAAUUUUGACUUACUCUACAUUCACCCUUUAUCAUUUUCUUGGCAGAAUCUUUAUCCAAAUUUCAUUUGGUCAUAUUUGUCAAUGUCCAGGUCGUGACAAAGACGAUGCCUGAGAAUAAUAUUCACCGUGGAGAUGACGACCUUGGAGGUGUUCAAAACCACUCACACUACCACAAUGUAACUUUCUUGUUCUACUCUUAACUCAUAUUCUCUAUGCAUGUCUAAUGUUAUCCUAGUUAUGGAAAUAUGUGGUGGGUCCUUGGUUUUGUCAUCAUCAUCGUUCCAGAGUAGUAUUAUAUAUGUAUUUAAAGAUAUAGAGUGAUAGACAGAUACGGCUAUUACCUGUCUUUGUAUGUUUCUCUGUUAUUGCUUGUAAAGAUUUCUUUAGCAGCUUUAUUACCUUAGAGGUACGAUGUCAGGCACUGCAAGAUAACUUAGUCAAGAUUUCCUGUUGUGUAGGUCUAUGGGAUGCUGAUGGCCAGAUCAACUUAUGAAGGGAUGGAGCUAGCUGAUAAGAAUAAGCGACCUUUUGUAUUGACAAGAGCUGGAUUCAUAGGUAGCCAGAGAUAUGCUGCGACUUGGACAGGAGAUAACCUUUCAAACUGGGAGCAUCUACAUAUGUCUAUAUCCAUGGUCCUUCAACUGGUAAGAAUUUCAGGAAUUUUCUGAAUCCUUAUCACAAAAUUAAAGUCUGGAGUGGGAUAGUCAUUUACGAUAACUAAUAUAUCUUGUCAAGCUCUGAGGACCUAAAAGUUUAGUACUCGUGAUCAAUUGCUUUGGCUGAAUUCUUUACUUCGGGAAUUGUUUAUUGUUCUUUUAAGCUUUGGUGUUGCUUAUAACCUAUAUUUUUCUCCAGUUUGGUAGAGCUAGCAGCAGAAAUGAGUAAAAAUAUGGUUUUGCUGUUGUAUUUCUCGAUUUGGGCAAAGAACUAUUAUUAAAUAUUUUUUUUCCCUCUCAUACCAUAAGUUAACAAUUGCAACACCUAUUAACUCUGAGACAGUAAAUUGCAUACAGGGGCUUAGUGGUCAGCCCUUAUCAGGGCCAGAUAUCGGUGGCUUUGCUGGCAAUGCAACUCCGCGGCUUUUUGGACGUUGGAUGGGUGUUGGAGCUAUGUUUCCAUUCUGUCGUGGUCAUUCUGAGGCUGGCACUGCUGACCAUGAACCAUGGUCUUUCGGAGAAGAGGUAAUCUUUUUCUUGCAAAUCUUGUAAGAGCUAUUUCAGCAUUACAACUCAAUUUUCAUUACUAAAAAUAGAAAGAUAGACACCUGACACAAAUGAUAAGAAAGUCAUUUUUUGGUUUAGGAUUUGUUUUGCCCCACUUAUGAACUGUAGUGUUUUAAUUAGUGCGAGGAAGUCUGUCGUGCCGCAUUGAAGAGGCGUUACCAACUCCUACCACAUUUUUACACCUUGUUUUACAUAGCCCAUACAACUGGUGCUCCAGUUGCAGCUCCAAUCUUUUUCGCUGGUAGGUUUGUGUAAAAUUUAUAUUCAAUGUCGUGAACUUAUGCAAUCAUAUCUUAUGCUCAUUCUUUCCUACGUUUCUUGAUAAAUGUAGAUCCUAAAGAUUCCCGGCUAAGGACUGUUGAAAAUGGCUUUCUUUUGGGUCCCCUUCUUUUAUAUGCAAGGUUUUUAUCUUCCCACUCAAACAUGGAUAUGGAUCUUGCAAGUUUCAUGAAGAUUUUCAGAAUCAUUGCUUUCCUUAACUCAUAGCUUGCAGAUUUCAUGACUUCACUCUGUUAUGUGGUUUGUGUUCUGAUUUGGCCACUUGAUGAAAUGUUUCAGUACUAUUUGACUGAAUUUUCGGAACAAGUGAUUCAGAAGUUUUAGAAUGUUGAAGUAACUAGAACCAUUUGUUGGGCAUGAUAAUUGACAUCUUAUGAGGUUUGGUCAUGACAGUUUUUCAGUGCUUUAAUUUUAAACUUUUCGUGAAUAACAACAACUGAAAUUUUUUUAACCUUAUAGUCUCUCUUUCUGUUCAGUCAUUUAUUGCAUUCUUGUAAAUGAAUGUUUUUUUAUUCAUUCUUGUGAGUUGUUCUGUAGUUUAAUCUGCCAUUUAUACUCAUCAAGCUUUCUUUGGUUUUUUUUCUAUCAUUGUCUAGCACUUUGUCUAGUCAGGGAUCACAUGAGCUGCAGCACAUAUUGCCCAGAGGAAUUUGGCUUAGGUUUGAUUUUGAAGAUUCACAUCCGGUAUGGUUGCUAACAGUCGUGAUUGUCGUCUAUCCAUUCUUUGCGAAAGAACGUAGAUUUUGUUUAUACUUUCACAUGUUGGUUGUUCGUUUCAUGAUGCCAGGAUUUACCAACAUUAUAUUUACAAGGUGGAUCCAUCAUAUCAUUGGCUCCUCCACAUCUGCAUGUUGGGGAAUUUAGUCUGUCAGAUGACUUGACCCUACUUGUGUCAUUAGAUGAAAAUGGUAAGUUUAGCUUUUGAUCCAGACAGAGGCGAUCAGUGAUCUGAAAUUUUUAUUUCUUUCUACUUUGCUUCUGUUGUCUUUUUGUAGAUUGUUUAUCAGAUAACAAGGUAUUAUAUAGUGAGAGGUAUCAUGUUACUGAAACUCGUGGAAAGAGAAUAAAUCAUAAUGCAACAGAAUAUUGGUAUUUCUUCUGACAUUUCGAGAAAGUGAAUAAAUCAUAACGUACCACAAUUACGUUUCGAAGUCCUUGUUGUAGUGUUCAGGCACAUGAUUGUGUAUUAAGCUCUAUAACUCUUUUGGUGAUUACCUUGUCAGAUUUUAUGUUCAUAUUCUAAGUCUCGUAAUAAUCAGGACAAUAACUCUUUUAUCUCUGUCAGGGAAAGCUAAAGGACUCUUGUUCGAGGAUGAUGGAGAUGGAUAUGGCUACACUAAAGGCAGAUUUCUAGUUACACACUACAUUGCUGAGCGGCAUUCUUCCACUGUCACUGUCAAGGUUUCAAAAACUGAAGGAGACUGGCAGAGGCCGAAGCGCCGUAUUCAUGUCCAAUUAUUACUAGGAGGCGGUGCAAUGGUACCGCUCUUUCUCUUGUUAAAAUAACAUAGUGUAACUAUAAGUUCAGAACAUUUGAAUCUAGAUAGUGUUGAACAGCUUGAUGCUUGGGGAAUGGAUGGAGAGAUUAUCCACAUUAAGGUGCCCUCAGAAAGUGAAGUUUCUGAGUUAAUAUCCACAAGCAAUGAGCGCUUUAAACUUCAUAUGGGUACAUCUCAUCUUUUAUAUAUAUCUGUAGCUACUUGUAUAUUCAGGUUUGUAGUUAUUGAGAUGUAUUGCUUCUAUUCACUGCAUUCGUCAAGUCCUCUAUAAUACCUUGUUACAUCCUUCAGCUUUAAUUUUCAUUUAAAUUCUAUACUGUAUUAACCGAGUCGCAGCUCCUUCCUAAACAUAAGAUCUUUAGUUCCAUGAACCUGUACAUACUGCAGUAUACUAAUGCAGUGUAUCUUCUUUCUGAGUAUGUGUAUUAUUGAAAUGUAGAAAAUACAAAACUGAUACCUGAGAAGGAAGUGCUACCUGGACAAAAGGGAAUGGAACUUUCAAAGGAGCCAGUUGAGUUAAACAGUGGCGAUUGGAAACUUAAUAUAGUUCCCUGGAUUGGUGGAAGGAUAUUGUCUAUGACACAUGUUCCCUCAGGUAAUAUAUCGAUAAACUGUUUUUCUAUGUACUAUUAAGUUUGAAAAAGUUGCAAAUCUUUUAAGAAUGAGAUACUUUCAACACUUUUGUGGAGAAUGCUCAGAGACAAAAACAUGUUCUGUUUCUUUGAAGUAAACAGUCUCAGCCCUAUACUGAGAGACACAAUAUGUCAAUAUCUAUUGGACUCUAGCAAACUAUGAUCACCCAGACAAAUUCCCAUAUCUCUGUGUCAUUAUAUCGUGUGUUGCCAAGAAUCAGCUCAUAGUUGAUUGUUGACGGUGUUGUGUCCAUAUUGGCUUUGAGAAUGUGCAGAGACUACAGUUUUGGUUGAUUGCAAUUUGCAGGAAUUCAAUGGCUUCAUAGCAGGAUAGAUAUCAAUGGUUAUGAGGAGUAUAGUGGUACUGAGUACCGGUCAGCUGGAUGUACUGAGGAAUAUAAUGUCAUUGAGUAAGUUUACUUUAACAAUCUCUCUCACACAAGCACAUUUCAUGCAUGCAAUGAAUGUUGACAUGAACACACAGCUCUCUGCAUUAUCUUUAUUUCUGUUACUACAUUGAUUGUUCCAUCUCGUGUAGGAGGGAUUUGGAGCAUGCAGGAGAGGAGGAAUCUCUGAUCCUGGAAGGUGAUGUAGGUGGUGGACUGGUUCUUCGGCGUAAAAUAAGUAUACCUAAAGAAAAUCCCCGAGUUUUUCAGAUUGCCUCUAGCAUUGAAGCCCGUAGUGUUGGUGCUGGUUCUGGUGGAUUUUCAAGGUUUGUCUACUUGCUUCAAGAUUUCCCUUUUUUCCACUAGGUCUAUGCUUUUGCAAGAGGUUACGGAACAGAGAGAAUUUACACAUUAAAGUACCAACUUUAUAGUAAUCUUAUGUAAUUUAAGUAGAUUUUGCAUAGAAUAGGUUGCUUGCAAGUUGGUAUGAGGUUUGUUCCUCGUACGUGAUAUAUGGAUGCAUGAAUCCUCUUCUGUUGUUGGAACGAGAAUAGAUCAAGUCAAAUGAUUCAAAUCCCCUGUCCUUUUUUCUUGUGUCUGGAAAAUGAUGUUGUUUUUUGGUGCUGGUUACCUAAUGCUGCAGGCUAGUAUGCUUAAGAGUCCAUCCAACUUUCACUCUUUUGCAUCCAACUGAAUCGUUUGUCUCAUUCAUGUCGAUUGAUGGUUCAAAGCAUGAAGUUUGGCCAGAUUCUGAAGAGCAAAUAUAUGAAGGGAACAACCUCCCACAUGGUAAGUAUCUUUAGGCUUUUCACAUUUUUCUCAUGUUUUAAUCAAUAGCCCAAAUAGAAAGAAGACUUUUAUCAUGAUACUAAACAUAUGGAUCAAUGUAACAUUUGCGCGAACACUCUUCCUCUAUUUUCUUAGGUGAAUGGAUGCUGGUGGACAAGAGCCUCAAUCUACGGCUAGUAAACAAGUUCAAUGUUAGUCAGGUCUUCAAAUGUAUAGUCCACUGGGACUGUGGAACCGUUAACUUGGAGCUAUGGUCUGAAGACCGACCUGUUUCUAAAGAAUCUCCUCUCAAAAUAGAGCAUGAGUACGAAGUCGCAAGUUUCCCAUAAAUAUGUCUGCACAGUUCUGUUUUGACUACUUGGGUGGUUGUCCAUGGUAUAUAUGCAUAAAUAAGUGAAUGAACAGUUGUGUUUUAGUUUUAAACUAUCUAUGUAUGCGACAUUGUGUUAUAUUGACAUUUUGCUACCUAAAUAAUCGAAUAUGGGGGAGCUUAAUUAGUACCCUCUCUGAUUAGAGUUGUCUAAUAUAUUAUGAGCCUAUGACAUAAAUAAAUAAAUAAAUAAUUAGGAUUAGUGGAUUGCAUUAUAUUGUCUUUCUCGUUUCAAUAAAAAAAAUUAAGAUCACAAUUAAUAAAAUUUAUUUAUUGAGGAAAUCCGGUCAACAUUCUUCACAACAUACAACUUAAGGUCUUCUUUCAUCAUUGCAAAAUAACCGGAGAAGAAGUAUUCAUCAUCUCUCUUAUGCACCACCAGGAAUUUUGUAUACUGGAACAUCAACAUAUAUAUAAGGUUGAAGAUAAAAAAAAAUGAAUAAACAUAAAAGAGUGUGUGUUCAAUGUUACUGCUUACCUCCACAAUAAGAGCCAGGAGCUAAUAGAUCACCACAUGCGUGAGACAGUUUGCCGAGCUUUUUUACGUCAAAACGUUCACCAAAAGUAGGAUUGACAGCAUCACAAAGGCAAUACAUCUUAUCAAUUUUUAAAUUCUUACAACAUUCUGGGAUCGGUGGGAUAAAUGGUGAAUUCAGCCUUAGAGACGUAACACAAUAAAUCAAAUCUUCAUAACCUUUCGUACGGAAAAAUCGUAUUUAGAAAAUCAUACAAUAUUUAUUACUUGUUUACCAUUUUUCAAAGAUCAUCAACUUUUUACUUAUUAUUAUAAAACAUAUUUCACCAAUCAUAACUACAUAAAGUAUUGAUGGAAAUUUGUUUCUUUAAGGAAAUUUCUAGCCAGCAAUUAUGAAAAAUAACCAAAACACUUUGUCAAGGCAAUAAAGAAAAAGGAAAGAUAAUAUUAUUUACAAAAUAAUACAAUAUUUAUUGCAAAUUUACCAUCAUUUAAAGAUCAACAAUUAAUUCCUUUUGACCAAAAACAGAAAAAGACUAACAAAUUUUCGGGACAGACAAAUCUUGCGAUUUAUUUUGGGCAGACAAAUUUUGACCCUUAUGAGUAUUAACUAUUAAGAAAUGAAAAAAAAUCUCGUGCUGAUCACAGACAACUAGACAGGAAAACGCUCAUGGACUAUUUUAUACUUUGAUUUGUCUAUUGUUUUCUCUUUCUAUUUGAAAAUCGUGAGAGUCAUUUGGAUGUUCCAAUGUCUUAUUUUUCUGUUUUGUCUAAGUCACAAGCAUGGAUUGUUGAUUCUGUCUUUUUCGUGUCAAUUACUAAAAAUUAAGAACACACAAUUAAUAAAACUUUUUUUUAUUGAUGAGAUCUUUCACAACAUAUGAUGUAAACGUAUAAUUUAAGAUAUAUGAGUCUGCUUUCAUCAAUGCCAAAUAACCAUAGAAGAAGUAUUCUUCUUUUCUCCUCUCAUGCACCACCAGGAACUUUAUAUACUGGAACACCAAACACCAAUAUAUAUAUGAGAUUAAAGAUGAAAAAUGAAUUUACUAAUUAAGAUUGUGAUUUUUAUGUUACUUAUAUGCAUCAUAUAUGUUGAGGAUGAAAAUUGAAAUGAAUAUAAUAUACUUAAGAGAGUUGUUAUAAUGUUACUUACAUCCACAGUAAGAGCCAGGAACUAAUAGAUCACCGCAUGCAUGAGACAGUUUGGGGAGCUUUUCCACAUCAAAAACUUCGAGAAAAUUAGGGUUGACAGCAUCACAAAGACAAUACAUCUUGUCAAUUUUUAAGUUUUUGCAGCAUUCUGGUAUCGGAAAAUUAAAUUGUGAAUUCUUCCUCAAAGACGGAGCACAAUAAACCAAAUCUUCAUAACCUUUUGUUCGGCUACAUCCACGAAAAGGUUUGAACGACGAUGUUCUCACAACAAGCAAUAUCAACAUAAUAGUAUAGAUCUUCAUCAUCAAAUCUCUCAUUUUUUUCUCUCUAUGAUAUAUCUUCGUCUUUUAUGUCCUUAUAUAUAUAUAUAUUUCAAAGUUUAUUAAGGAAAAACAAUCUUGUCAAAGGAAUAAGAAAAAAGAAGAAAAAAAGGAUAGAUAUAACAGUAUUUACAAAAUAAUACAAUAUUUAUUGCUGAAUUGGCAUUUUAAAAAGAUCCACAAUAUUUUUGACCAAUAACAGAAAAAGACGAACACUUUUUUGGGGCAAACAAAUCUUGCAAUCAUUAUUAAGAAAUGAAAAAAAAAAAUCUUGUGAAAUUCAAAACAUUGUUCUUUACAUUGUUCCUCUGAUUCAGGUGAAUACGAGUAAUAACGAAGGCAAUGGUGGAGCCAUAAAUUUUGUUUGUCAUACAUAUUUAGUUAAUUCAAAGUGUAAGUUAUUACUUAGUUUCAAGAACAUUUAAAAAUUUAAUCUAAAAUAACCCUAAAUAAUCUAUUAUAUAUAUAGUUUUAAAACCUAAAAUGUUUCAUAUUUCAUCUUUGAAAAUGUAGUCGUGAGAGUAUUAUGAAUUAAGUUCCUAGAAAACAAAAAAAAAAAAAACAAAGAGGAUAAGGUUUGUGGGCCAAAGAUUAAUCAAUUAAUGGAUUCUCACGUUGAAAAGGGCCGAAGAUUAUUAAAAUCAAGCCCAAAUUAUCGCCUGAAGAGAUGAUCAUCGAUGGUGACGGCGGGAAAGCUCGACGGCGAACAAGGAAGAGAUUGUUCCAGCAAAUUGAUUUGCCAGAAGGGUUCCUGCGAUACAGUGAAGCAACAACAAAUUGAUUUCGGUAAGGAGUCUUCACGAAUCUGUAGAAGAGAAUAAAAAUCAGAGGAGUCCCAACCACAGCCAGCAGAAUUCGCGAGUUGGUUCAAUUUGACGUGAUCUCUGUCUGGAAGAACGAGGAAGAAGAAGAUCGAUGCAAUUCUGAAUCGAAGAAAUCAUAACAAGAGGAAAACGGAUUCAGGUUAAGGAAGAGUCGAAGAUUCUUGACUCAAAGAGAUUGUUUUCUCUUGAUUAGUACAUAAGAAGAAGGCUGCUUAAGAUAUAAGCACUAGUUGUUUUGUGGUGAUUCUCUGUUGUUGUUUUCUGGAUGCUCAUGGAAUGCUAAAAUCAACGCUUUGAUUGGAUCACAUACUGAAAAGUGAUCAGAAUGAAUUGAGGAAAGGUCUUCUUGAGUUUUCAGUCUUAAGAAAAAUCAGGUUCAUAAGAGGUCUUGCUAGUGUAUGUGGAAAGUUGUGUCUCUACAUGUUUCUCAAGAUGUUGCUGGUUUCAAAAUGAUAUUAUGGUUCACUCUAAGGGUUCAAGCUGAGUAAGAUGUAACGAAAUCAGAAGUAACAUAUAUAUAUUGCAGAAUCUUGUGGUUUUGCCACACGAAUCUUUGCUAAUAGUAUUUAUCUGAUCACCAAUUGUUCCUAUACUGUUGUUGUCAAAGAGAACAGGAAUGCGAGAAUAUGAUUGGAAAAUGGACCCAGAAGUUUGCAGAGCUUACCUAUGAGCAUAUCUUCUUGAAGGACAACUUGAGGACAAGUUGAAUUGCAGGAUCUACAAGCGUCAUCAACAACACAUGCCUCAUCAACUAGUUGGUUGGCAAUAUAAAUAUAAUGUUUUGGUAAAACUUUUUGGUGCCUCUUGGGGUUUGGAGACUGUCUGUAGAAAAAACCAUAAAUAAAGUUGUUUUAGAUUCCAAACCUUAUGAUCAGUAUUCCAAUUAACUGUUGGGAAAGAUCACGACAAUCACAGUAUUGCAAACAAGUAACUGAGGCCAUCGUCAUAUAAAUAAACUAACGAAAAGAGCGUCUAUACAUAAGUUCUUAUAAGUUCUAAGUAAAAAAUAGAUAAGACACUGAAACAGAGAUAAACAUUCAUACGUGGGUACAAACGCGCGCUGCCUUGUAGAUCUUCCCAGCUCGACAGAAGUAACCUCUGCUAGGGGAACAGUGCACAUCUUUCGAACAGAUGCACAACCCCUCCAGUGCACAGCCUUCCGUAUCUACGGUAAGGUCGCCUCCCAAACCCAAUACUGCGUCUGUCCAUUUGCUCGAAAAUAGGUGUAGUGGGUCGAACAUCUGCUUCAUCUUCAAGAAUAAAGCUGCAUCCUUGUACUUCUCAGUGGCGUUGAUAAAGGCAACAUUUCUGUUCUUACCCCAAUGUGGCAGGCCCCCAUACUUGAACAAACCUAUCUGCUCGAUAUCCUCGAAAAAAUCUUCAUACAUACGAGGCAUCAACGGGUCUCUGCUUCUGUAAUAUGUAAACUCGAACUCCAUACCCUCGAAUUCGAUGCCCAAGUAUGCAAAUGAUGGUUGUACAUACCGGAUCAACACACCAUUGUAGAAAUUGAGUCCACAUAAAGCCUUCGGUUCGAUCUUGACUAGAGUCUUGAUGUCGCUGAUAAACUCCUUAACGCUCUCUAUAGGGAUGGUGAACGUGGUCUGAUGAAAGAAUUGACCGUGUAUGCGGGAGUCCCAGGGACAAGCCGUGGCCAACCCAUCUUCUUUGCUAUCCAGACAACCUCCUGAUGACAUCAGAUCGCUGGAUAGCCAGAAUACUUCAUACCUACAAUUCAAAAUAUGAAACAUAACUUAAUAAUCUGAUUUCACAUGUGUUAUUGGUUUUGCAAUACACAGUAAAAAAGAACAUACCAUCAUUCGACAAACCGUAUAACAGAGUAUAUAAAAGAGCUGGAACAUCACGCGCCAAUGUGCAAAUCUCCUCUGAAUUCCUUUCAAAUUCUAGCUCUUCUUCUAUUUGUUUGUUAAGAUAAAAUUAAGUUAUUAUAAUGAUGUAGAUGUUUAUAUUUUUGUAAUGAAAUCUUUAGUAGAAAUGAAUGUACCUUUUGAUCUUUGGAAUGCCAGGAUUUUUGAGUCUUUGGCUUCGAACAAUACAGAAUCAUAUGAGCCACUGCCGGAGAUGUUCAUUGAAACCCGUUCAUCCAUACGGUAAACGACUUCUCCUUGGCUGGGGUACCACAUUAUGUCAGGAAACUCGUACCUAUCUCCGUGCUUCUCAACCAUCUCUACAAGAUCGCUAUCCUUAAUGUUCAUAUAGGUGAUUGAUCUUUUGAACAUUAACUCCAACUGAACCGUCACCUGAAAAGGAAUGAUACAAAGGUUAUUUCAUUUUUCCACACAAGAUUUAAAGAAGCUUAUUAUGUAUCUUAGCCAAAAAAACAGUUUAAUGGAGAUAAGCAAACAAGUCAAUUACAUAAUUUAUCUUUGAUAUAAACAGAAAAUAUAAGAUUUUUACCUGAGAUAUGACACCAAAUACGCCCAGAGAAACUCUAGCAGCGUCCAACUCACUGAAGUUGCUGCGGUUGAGUGUUCUAAUCAUGGAGUAUCCUUGAUCAGGAGGAGCAGAGGUUACCAUUCGCAUCUCGAUGACGUAGUCGUGAAAAGCAGUGCCCCCACGCUCCCCAUCCCAAGAACUACCGUGGGCUCCGGUAGACAUCAUCCCACCUACUGUUAGCCCCCACCAGUGUGGUGCCAUUCUCAACGCCAGUCCAACUUUUGCAGCAUCACCUAUGAGUUGGCGAAGUGACACGCCACUCUGAACCGUGAUCGUCAUCGCAUCUCUAUCAACACUCAACGUCUUGUUGAGAAGCUCGGCGCUGAUAAGUCUACCAUCCUUUCCAUCGACACAGGCCAACUUGGUUGUGCUGUGAGAAAAGCGUGUAACCACGCGCAUCUUCUGUCUCGCGCGAGUUCCUUCAGCAACGACUUGUAGGAGAUCAUUCUCCGUGGUCGGGUAUGCCACGACAGAUGCUCUACAGAUGGCUCGAUCGGAGAAUGCGCCGUACGAGUUGAGAACCGUGCAGUUUCUUCCUCUGAAACCACAGCUAACAGGGUUUUCCGGUGGGCUUGAGUAAGACACAGAGAACAAGAGGUGAAGAGAUAGUACUCCUGAGCCAUAGAAAAAAACAACUGAAUUAACAAAAAGAAGAGUAAAGUUGAGAUGGCAAUUUUGCAUCAUGAAACUGAGCAAAUCAAUUGGAACAUCUAAUUCCAGUUCUACUCACAGUAAUCACUAUUGAUCCCUAGAAAUAUUUGGUCCCAAUAACAACAGCAGAGCAUAAACAACAGAAGAGAAAGUUCCAGGAGUUACCUAUUGCCACCAGAAGCAUCAUUUUGAGUUUUCAGUCUGUAGCUCUUACAGUGGCUAAAAAUCUGCAAGGAAGAUGAAUGACAAAUGUUAAGAGGAUUAGUAAUGCAAGGAACAUGACUGACAGAGAAAUACAUACAGAAUAAGUCAAUAUGUUGCUCAAAGUUAUUAACUACCUAUACUGCAAUCACCAAGCAAUGUGAGAUGAGUUUGAAAAAUGACAAAUAAUAAAUUAAUAAUUAUAAGCUCAUUUGACUGAUUCUAGUACUUAGAGCAUCUCCAAGAGACUCUUUAUUUUUGAAGUAUGGGAUACUUCAAAUUUGAAGUUUUUUACUUUUGUCUCCAAUGAUAAACUUCAAAAUAAAACUUCAAAAUUUUAGCUAUUUGCAUUAUAGUCCUCACUAUUAACCAUAAUUGAUUAAAAUCAUAAAACUUUCAUAAUUAACUAUACAAGCAAGAUUAAUUAAUAAAACAUUACAUUAAAAUAUAAAAAUUACAUAACUAUAAAAUAAAAAGAAAACAAAAUUAGACACUAUCUUUGAUAGUAAUACCCGUGAGUUUAUUCGAUUUGAACAAGCAAGAAUCAUACAAAAAAGAAAUCAAGCACAAGAACAAGAACAACAACCUUCGGUUACACCAAAUUACUAUGGACAAUACUUUGGAGAUCUUGGAGGUUCAGGAUCAAAUCUACCAGGUUAUUAAUAUGAUUGUACUUUUUGUGUAAUAUUUAUGUGUUUAUGUAAUUUUACUUAUUUGUGUUAUUUUGUUUUGUAUGAAAUAUGUUUAAUGUAAUAUUGUUAUUGUGUAAUAUUUAUUUUUAAUGAUAUGUAAUAUUUCUUCUAUACU
rnacentral:lncRNA from 1 species